rnacentral:lncRNA from 1 species
AUGUUUCAGAAACAUCCACCAUGAAUACUGCAGGAAAUUUGUCAUUGAAAGAAGUUAAGCAAGAAAAUCCACUAUGGCGAAAUCACAAGAGGUCACUCGGUUGAUUUAUAUUUAAAAAAUGGAAUGCAAGCAAAGUCACAGUCCAUUGCUCUUUGUUCCAAACUGAAACGCCAGUUAAAUUUCCUCAACUUGACUUCAGCUUUAACCAAGUCCACCAAAACAGUGCUUUGAGCAUGACCCAAGAGAAAUUAGAACUCCCAAUCAUUACACAGUGUCAACCAAUCACCCCAGACAAAAUUAGAAACAAGAAAGAACACAUGACUUCACAAACACACAGGAAGAGAGAGAGAGAGAGAGAGAGAGACUGCAACGCUCUAGAGUUGCUUCUCCUUGAAAUGGCUCGUGAGUUAGGGUGUGAAAUAUAGAACGUUGAGGCAGAUGAAUCAUCACCAAGAAAAAAAAAAGGGAAGAAAAAAACGAAGGAAAAAGGAAUGAAAGAAUGGUCAAAUGGGAUGUCUGAUUUGCGACAGCUUCUGACGAAAUAAGGAGAAGAAGAUCGAGUGGUCAAGAACACGUGGUGCGAUGCAUGCGUCACCGCUUACGUAGGCAGGCGUCUCACCUGAGCUGAAACGAGAGGAGAACGAGAUGGAGAAAACUUUGCAUAAUUGAUUAGUUUAUAGUUUUCUCCUUCCUCGUGUAUUUUGGCUUCUUCCGUGGACUUCUAUACAAUCAUACUAAUUAACAAUAACAAAUAACUUGAAUUGCUUUAUAAUCGUUUUGACAUUUUCAUCUCUUGAUUCGGUAUUCUCUUCUCUAGAGAUAGACAAAUUACUUUGCCUGUAUUCUAAGAUUUUUCUCUAUGAAAUUCUUGAUCUUACAGAUCAUUGAGAAGUAAUCUCUUCACAAUUAACUUAUUGCAUUGUACUGCAUUAUCGUAAGAGGUUUGAGGAUCCUAAAUUUAUUAAUUGAUUGCAAUUUUUUGAAUCUAGAUAAUGUGGACGGUUCUCCUAACAUAAGAACUAUUUUUCCUAUAUUUUGUUAAACUUGAGAUUGACUAAUUGCUUAAUAUACUCCAAUAAGUUAUACCAAAGUCCAACUCUAAGGUCGUGAUCAACUUCUCAUCUACGGUAUUGCCACAAUCCUUCCGAGAUGGAAGUUUGACGAAUUGCCAAGCAGACACGCAUGAUCCCUCUCGUGAGGUGGCACUUAUACUUACCACGAACUCUCCCAAACCUAUCGAUCACAACGUGAUUUCUACUUUAAUUAUAUGAGUAACUACUAAUUAAUUAUGGGCCAAUUAGAAGUCAAAUUAGACAUAGGAGCCCAUUUUAUUUCAGAAAAUCAAAGAUUCGUGGGUUGGAACGUGAUUACACUAUAUAUGUCUUUUGCCCAAUUUGAUACAUUUUUUUUUUUUAUGAAAACAUUUUACAUGUGAGCUCUCUUUUUAUUUUCUGAUCUUUUUUUUCCUAAUAGUGAAGCAAAUAAUAAUUGCUUAAACAAUAAGCAAAUAAUAACAAAGCUAUUAGAGGACAGGAAAAAUUUACUUAAGCUGUAAUGGGCAUAUUAUUACUAUAUGUUGAUACCUAAAUUUUUGCAUAAAAAAUGAGUUAAUUUUUACCCCCAAAUAUAAUUAAUUAAUUAAUUAAUUAAAAUUGCAACAUAUAGUUUUUGGAGCAUCUAUUUUAUUUUAUUCCAUUUUUUGCAUUGGAUUGACGAUAAGCGUUAAUAUAACGUGAGAUUUUUCAUAUAUUCAUGUGAGGUUUUUCACAUAUUCAGGUAAUAUACGUCAAAUGACAUAUUUUUUAGUAAAAAGAAAAUUUUUAGAUGGAAUAUUUGAAAAAUACAAAGGAGAAUAUUGCACGGAAUGUUUAUAUUUUAAUGAUAUAUUCAGGAGGACUAUGCACGAGCAAAAUUGAAAGUAAAAUAUUCCAUGAAAAUCUAAUUCCCUCUCCUAUAUAAUGUGAGCGAAUUCAGAAAAAUAGAGUGAAAAAGCUUCUUCUUCUUCUUUUUUUCUUUCGAGGCAUUUUCCUUCGGUUUCUCUUGAGUUCAAAAGUCAAAAAGGAGAAAAGAAAAAGAGUGAAAGAGAGAGGAGACGUGAGCGCAGAGAAGACGCAGAGAGAGAGGAGACGUGAGUGGACAGACAAGAAAGAAAAAAAAGAAGGAAGAGGACGAAGCAAGCGAGUCGUCUCCCUCGCGCGGGCGUCCGUGCCCCUGCCGGCCUCCAUCCGCGGGCACCUGCCGGCUCCGCCUCGCCUCCGCUUCCCGUCCUCGCGCCGGCCACCGCUGCUCCCCGCCGAGACACCACCGGCCGUACGCCUGUCGCAGCACCCCUGUCCCGGGCAUCGACGCCGCAGAACCACUGCCCGUAGCUGCUCGCCCGACGCCUGCAACCCGCCGAUCCGGCCACUGCCGCUCCGCCCGCGAGCCAGCAUCCGACGCCUGCCAGCCUCUGCUCGACGACCGCGCCUGCAGCAGCGCCCGAGGCCCUCGCCGCUCCGCCUUGACCGCCCGCUGCAGCAAACCUGCACCGGCCCCCUUUGCUCCGCCCGACGCCGUUGCAGCGCCGCUCGAACGCCGCCCCUGUCUGCGCCUCUGCCCGACGAUCGCAACAGCAGCCGCCGCCUCCACAGCCGCGCCUCUGCACCGCGCCAUCACUGCUACUGCGCCUGGUGCCCGACGCCCACAGCCACCCUCUGCCCGGCGCCGCCCACCAUCGUUGCUGCCCUUCCCCACGUCCCCCUUAGGUAGUUUAUUUUUAUUUUUAUUUUUCAUUUAUUAUGUUAUUAUUUUUUUUUUUCAAAGUUCUGUCAUUAUUGUACAAAUUGGAACAUUGAAAGGUGAUUUUCAUUUUAUGAAUAUUCUAGGCAUUAUCCACAGGACUUUACUCAAAAUUACCGUAAUUAUUAAUUUGAUCCGUAAGAUGUCGGAUCAUUUUUUUAAUUAUGUUAAUUUUUUGACAAUUUGAUAGUAUUUUAACUUAUUAAAUCAUUAUAAUUAUUAAUUUGAUCCGUAAAAUUUCGAAUCAAAUUUUUAAUCAUUUUGAAUAUUCUUAUAUAUUGUGAUGUUUAGUGUUAAAAUAAUUGUUAAUUUAACAUGUAAGACAACGGAUUAUUUUUUCGAUUAUUUUAAUCUUUUAUUUGUUGAAUAUCUUGAUUGGUUUAGAUAUAAUAUUUAUUUGAUAAUUUUUUUUUUUUGUGACUUAGAAAACCCGCGCAUCGUACCAACACAGACAACCCGAAAAGCCCAGGUAACAGGAGUAAACCCUGAGUGCAACACAUGUUAGCCAUCACACAUGUGCCAUCAGGUAAGUCACAUUGCAACACCCGGGAAUCAAACUCCUCCCCUUACGUUAGGGGGAGAAGCUCGCCGCCGGCAACGCUACCCAGGUGGGUGGUAUGUUUAUUUGAUAAUUGUUUGUCUUGGACAAACACUAAAAAAAUAUAAAAAAUCAAAAAUCAAAAUCUUGCAUCGGAGUUGUUGGUUUAGUAAAUCAGGAUUGCAUUUUUAGGAUUAUACAUUUAGAUAAUUUUUGGAAUAAAUUAUGAUUGAAUUAUAUAUAUACUCUUAAAUAAUGCUUGCACAUUUUGAUAAUCUCAAUUUUCUUUAAAAUUAAAAUAGUUUUCUAAAAUAGGAUAAUGUUUAAGUCAAAUUAAUCCGUAAACUAUAUUAGAGGACCAUUCAUUUUAGAUAGUUUAAUUAGGUUUUUUUAAAAUUUUAAUAAAAAAAUAUUAGGUGCAUAUCAAUAGUUUGCAUGUUAGGCUCAUUUAAUUAGAAAUAGCUUGUUAGUAAAAUUAGAUCAUGUAAUUAAAGUGUAUCCUUUAAUUUAGAGAUAAAAGAAAACCAAAAAAAUAUGUUUGCUUUGUGCUUUUAAAUUAUUAUUUUUAUGCAAUUCGUUUGAUUCAUUGAGUUUUUAAUAAUAAUUGAGCACCUAUGUAAUUAUCAUUUUGCAUGAUAGAAAUUUAGGUUAAAAUUAAUCAAAACAACUUGCAAAAACAUUUUUGAAAAUAAAAAGAAAUGGUAACGAAAGAGCAUUAAAGAAGUCCAGUGUAACAAAAUCCCCGUACCCAAAGUUUCUAGUUUGUAUGAGUAAAAUAAUUAUCAUAUUAUUUUACUUAAGUAUAUAAUCGAUUUAUCAUAAACUGAUUAGUAGUGAUUCAUAGAUAAAAUAUAUUUGCAUGUUAAAAUUUGAACUUAAGUCGGAAAUUAGUAUGGACUUGGGAGAGCCCGAGCUAAGUUUAAAACUUAAUAAUCCAUUAGCCUAAACCCUAGGUGGUACACCAGAAAUUUAGGUCGUGGCAGCUUAGCGACUCCGCUAGGAACUUGUGUUAAAACUCUUAGUGGACUUAGGCCAAUUUUUCUUUUCCGGCAGUGAGAAUACCAGGUACGUCCCUAAUAUCAAGUGUUAAAUAUUGUUGCAGAUGGGAGGUAUAAGGAAAAGUAGUCUUUGCUAAUCCUUAUCUUGCAGGGAGGUGUUGAGAUUAUGAUUUAUUUUUCCUGAUUAUAAGUGUCAUUUGCAUUUAAUUUUUUUUUUUUGUGACCUAAGGAACCUCCGUGCGUCGUCUUCGCUUGAAGUAAACCUUGGAGGGAGUAGAGUUACCACUACUCUUACUCUCCGGAUAAGUCGUGGAUUCCUUUCCAACAAGGCGGACGACGCAGGGAUUCGAACUCUAGACCUCUCGCGAAAGGAACCAGCGCCCAACCACUACGCCACCACCACAGAUGGUGUUGUUUGCAUUUAAAUUGUUGUGCAUAUUUUAUUGCUUAUUGCACACACAACCUACUAUCGGACUUGGGCUCCGUUAGGAUUUUUAGGAUGAUGUUGAAAAUGAUACUUCCCCCAAAGCGAGACUGCUAUGUAGAGGUUGACAUUCUCUUCUCCAAAAGUUUUUCAUGGUAUCGAAUAUAUUUGUCCACAUCCGCGAGACUGUGUGACUAUUGGACAUUCCAUUCGACUGAGUUAGAGUUAGGAGGACCUGACAUGUUAAAUGCGAGACUGCAAUGGUCAGAUCAUCCUCUUAGCUCUACUUUGUUAAGCCGUCUAGAUAGAAAUCGAGCCUCACACUUCAUGCAUGUGUUUAUGUGAUUGUCAUCCAUUUUCGAUGAAAGAAAAUUGUCUAAAUUCUCAUUUUGCAAUUUACUUACUUAAUGCAAUUUUGUCAAUUCAUGACAAUAGAUCUUGUCGUUAGUCUUGUUUUAUAUGUGAUGAGAAAAACCAACAAAUAGUUCAUUUCCACUCCAAAAAAAGAGCUCAAAAUGUGGUUGGACCAACUAGAUCAAGAUGGCCAGAAAUAUGUGAAAGCCAGAUUGGCCCGACUUCUCCCAUUGUUAGAGAUCAAUAUCCACUUUGGUGUAAUACAAGCACUGCCUCACUUCUAAUGUCCACAAACUUCCACAUUCAUAUUUGAUUAGUACGAGUUAACUCCAACACUAGAGCAAUAUAGUGUUGCUAUUGGAAUGCUUCUUGAAAAAGAACUUGUUAGGCCGUCUAUCAGUAUAGAUUAUAUUUUUGAAUUAUCACGGUUUUUAAAACCAAAGCUAAACGGUAAGGAAGGUUGUCAAGGCCAAUUGUUAUGCGUGCCCAUUUUUAUUUUUGGCAAAGUGUUUUGCAAAUCAAUCAAUAAUUUCAAAGCUAAGAUCUUUAUUUUAACGUUUUUUGGGCUAAUUGUUUUCCCUUUAUCGAAAAAAUGCCAUUAAUCCUUCAAUUUCAUGUGUGGUUAGCCGAGUUUGUGACGGAUUGAAUUAUGUCAAUAUGAUUUUAGUUGAAACAUUUUUGUCAUUAACUCGUUUCAAACAAAAUGAAGAAAAGACCAUGCGUGUCAUUCCUGAACUUUUGCAAAUAUGGUUUUUCUUUCACAUAAAAAGAUUUGGGCACCUUAUGAAACAAUUUAAAAUUGAUGAUUUUAGGCACUCCAUAUAAAAAGUUGCGGUCACAGUACGCCCGUUGGAUAAACAAUUUAAAAUUGAUGAUUUUAGGCACUCCAUAUAAAAAGUUGCAGUCACAGUACGCCCGUUGGAUUAAUUUUUUGAAUGAUCCUAAUCCUAAGGUAUUCGUAUGGCAUACUAAAUGGUUCCGUGUUAAGGAAGCUCAAUUCUCUCGCAAGUAUGAUGAGCAAAUUCCAUUGAUGGGCCUUUCUAGUGCUACUUCUUAUUACCCAUAUAAGGUGGCCCGUCAGUACAAAGCUCUUCAAGAAGUUCCUCCACCUCUCAAGACAUAAUUGUUUCAAGUUCGUUUUAUUCGUACAAACUAAUUCAACGAGAUCCAGAUGAUUAUUGCUGCAUGGAAUGAAUGCCACCCAUAGAAGAUUUUGAUGCCCAAGAGAUUGAAAGGCGAGGAGGAGAUUCACUAUGCGUUAGCAUUCUACAUCCAACCAUACCGGAUUCCUGCCGCUUUGUGUUCAGUGGUCCUUGAUAUGACUAAAAAGCUCACUCAGCAAGCACAAAUUGAGUAUCUUAAACAUAAAGUGGAAAUGAUUGAAGUUGAAAAUAAGAAGCUUCGCAAGGCGUUGGGAUCCCAAAAUCAUAUAAAAUGAUAUGUUUUAAAUUUUAUUUCUUAGUUCAAUGUUUAGGGACUUUGAGUUCUAGUUCAAUGUUUUCAAUUUUUUAGAUUCAAUGUUUAUGGACUUUGAUUUCAAAUCUUAGUUCAUUGUUAGGGAACUUGGUUCACAUUUCAAAUAAAUCUUGAAUAAAAUGAGGUGAUUAGACCAUUGUCAUGGGCAAUUUUCCUAUCUUGUCAUCGAUUCUUACAUUACUUUUAUUACCUUAGGUGACAACGGAACCGCCGGUUCGCCCAUUAUCACUCGAUUGAGAGCUAAAAUGGCCGACUAAACUGAAAUGUGCGAUCGUAUCUCCACAAUGGAAGACCAACUCCAACAGUUGCUCACCUCUAUGCAACUUAUAUUAGCUCAAAUCCAGUGCCUCCAAGCAAAUCCAACUCCUGCACUCGCUCUCCCUAAGAUAGUUGUCCUGAAGUCGACAAGCAAGGCUCAAAUUAUGGGUGAUGAUGACAUGCCUGAACAAGAAGAUGACCCACCAUUGAUUACUGCCGAAAAAGUUAAGCUUGACAACGUCCCUAAGACAGAGCAAGAUGAACACUUUGCAAAGCUUGAAGAGAAGGUGAAGCAAUUGCAAGAGUCGCAAAGUUCAAUCCCGUUCAACUUGUCGGUGUAUGAGAAGGUUAAGGUGCCAAAAAAGUUUAAAAUGCUGGAUUUUGAUAAAUACGAUGGUAUUUCUUGCUCAAAAGCUCAUUUGCAGAUGUACCACGUACGCAUGGCCUAGUAUGUCAAGAAUGAGCCCCUCAUGAUCCAAUCAUUUCAUGCAAGUUUGAUCGAGCCCGCAUUGAGCUGGUAUGUGAUAAAGAAUGUGAACCUUCUCGACACAUGGAAUGAAGUAGCUGACACAUUCCUCAAGCAAUAUAAGUUCAAUAUGGACAUUGCACCUUCCCGAGAAGAUCUUGAGAGAAUGGAGAAUAAACGGAGUGAAUCAUUCAAGAACUAUUUCGUGAGAUUGUGAAAUCUGGCAACUCAAAUCACUCUUGAGCCUACUAACAAUGAGUUGAUGAAGUUGUUCAUCUAGACUCGUUUGAGUUUCAUAAUCGAAUGACUAGCACGUACGUUGAGAACUUUAAUUAACUUAUUCCCAUUGGAGAACAAAUUGAGAUGGGGAUAAGAAAAUGAUGGUUUACUAAGCCAUCCAACAAAAGGUUCUCUACUAGGAAUGAUAAAGAGGCUACUGUACAUGUGAAUGUGGCCUAUACCCAAUAAAAUGCUGUUGACACCUAAUUUUGGAAAAAUAAAAUUGCAUUUUGAACAAAUAAAAAGAAAAAAAUGAAAAUGGGAGAAAUUGAUCAUCUCGCAUAUUAGGGAAAUAGAUUUAAAAAUCAAUUCAAACUGCCUAUGAAAUUUUUUUUUGAAAAAUAAAAGAAUGGUAUCGAAAGGGCAUUAGAGAAAUCUAGUAUAAUCAAGUCCCCGAACCCAUAGUCUCUGGCUCGUAGAAGUAAAGUAAAGCUCCAAUUAUUUUACUUGGGUUUCUAAUCGACCCAUCAAAAAUAAAUUAAUGGCGACUCCUAGAUAAAAUCCAUUUGCAUGUUAAGAAAUUUGAACUUAGUCACAAAUUGGUAUGGGCCUAGGAGGGCCCAGGUUAAAUCUAGGCUUAACAAUCCAUUAGCCUAAUUUUAGGUGGUUCACCCAAAAAAUAGGUCGUGACAGUUUGGCGACUCCGCUGGGGACUUGUGUUAAAACACUUAGUGGACUUAGGUCAAUUUUCUUCUCUUUGAAAAAUGUUUUUGUUUGGCAGCGAGAAUUUCAGGUACGUCCCUAACAUUUAAGGUGUUAAAUAUUUUUGCAGAUUAGGAAGUAUAAGGGGAGUAGUGUUUGCUAACCUUUGUUUUGCAGGAAGGUGUAUGAAUGUAUGGUUUACAUUAAUAUAUGAAGUGCUGCUUGAUAUAAACUGUAGCGCAUGCUUUGUAUUUUUCACUACACUUUUGCACACACAACCGCCGCUGGACCUGGGCCGCACUAUGAUAUUUAGGAUGGUAUUGAGUUGGAUACGACUUCGACCGCAAGGCCGCGUAGUAGAGGUUGCCCAACUCAAUCCCGAAAGUUUUUCUUGGUGUAAAAAAUGUUUACCUCUGCCCGCGAGGCUGCGUCACAUUGGGGUAUCAUUCUUGACUGAGCCGAAGUUAGGAGGACUUGACUUAGUAUUUGAGGCUGCAACUAAGUCAUCCCACCCUUGUAACUCUACUUUGCUAAGCCUGUCUAGAGUAGAAAUCGAGCCUCACAUCUCAUGUGCAUGUCUAUGUGAUUGUUGUCGAUUUUUCUUGGUGAAGUAAGUUUUCUAUCCCUAUACCAUGCAAUUUAUUUUGUCGUGCUUUUAGUCUGUUCAUGCCAAUUUAGGUCAAGCAUUGAUUUAACUCCUUUGUUAAUUAGAGAUGAAAUGAGGAAAUUGUCAUGCAAUGAAUCAUUUUGAAAAAAAAAAACACUUCAGAGAAUUUGUUUUCAAUUCAUGUUUAGGAAAUUUGAUCUUGCUAGGGUGUCUAUUUUUCUAGUCUUUUUUUUAGGAAAUUCCUUUAUUGUACGAACUUUUCAUGAAUAAAUGAAGAUGAAAAAUGAAAAAAAAAAUCAGAUCAUUGUCAUGGAUUGGCUAUCUAUUUACACAUCGUGCUUAUUUUGUUCAUUUCUUCAAAAUAGGUGACAACGGAGCUGCCACAUUCAUCCAUUAUUACACGAUUAAGAGCUAGAAUGGCAAAUCAAGCUGAAAUGCGUGAUCGCAUGUCCUCCGUGGAAGAUCAACUCAAAUAGUUAGCCGCCUCCAUGCAGCUUAUAACAGCUCAACUUCAAUCCCUUCAGGUGAAUCCAAAUCCUCCACCCGUUCUCCUUGAGAUAGUAGUCCUGAGGAACAGGACCCAAAUGAGCGAUGACAAAAUGCCUGAGCUAGAAGAUGACCUGGUCCUUGUUGGAAAAGCCAAGCCUGAUAGCGUUCCCAAGAUAGAGCAGGAUGAGCGCGUUGCAAAGCUGGAAGAGAAAGUGAGACAGCUGCAAGAGUCACAAAGCUCACUUUCGUUUGACCUCUCAGUUUAUGAGAAGGUCAAAAUGCCGAGCAAGUUCAAAAUGCCAGAAUUUGAUAAGUAUGACGGGAUAUCUUGUCCGAAAUCUCAUUUGUAGAUGUACCACGUGUGCAUGGCCCAGCACGUCAAAAAUGAGCCACUCACGAUCCAAUUGUUUCAUGCGAGUUUGAUUGGGCUUGCACUAAACUGGUACGUGAUGAAGAACGUAAACCUCCUCGAAACCUGGAACGAGGUAGUGGACGCGUUCCUCAAACAGUACAAAUUCAACAUGAACAUCGCGCCUUCCCGAGAAGACUUGGAGAGGAUGGAAAAGAAAAGGAGCGAGUCAUUUAAAGAGUAUGUUGUGAGAUGGAGAAACCUUGCGGCCCAAAUUACUUCUAAGCAUACCAACAAGGAGUUGAUGAAGUUGUUUGUGAAGACCCUUCCAUCUGAGUUCCGUAACUGAAUGGCCAGUAUGUAUGUCGAGAGCUUCAAUCAGCUUAUUCCUAUAGGAGAACAGAUCGAGAUGGGGAUAAGGGAAGGGUGGUUCGCUGAGCCAUCAAGUAAAAGAUUCUCUGCCAAGAAAGAGAGAAGAUUCCGUUGAUGUGAACGUGGCUUAUACCCAAGAAAGUACCCAUCGUGCCCCGACUAUCCAGGCAAAUCCAAGGCAACAACAAACUGCUGGCUGCCAAUCAAAUUAUAGAAGGCAAUUCUCUCCUCUCCCUGGAUCUCCAUCCCAAGUGUUGGCAAUCCUCCGAAAGAAAGGCUUGCUUUCUAGUGAACCAAAGCAUCCUAACUGCGAAAGCAAUCGAUGUUACGACCCGAUGAAGAAGUGUGACUACCAUAGCGGUGAACUGGGGCAUUCAAAUGAUGAAUGUUUCACCCUCAAGCACAAGAUCCAAAACCUCUUGGACACGAAGGCCUUUUCGUUUCAAACUGCUCAGUCGAACAUCCAGAAAAAUCUGCUACCAGAGCAUGAGGGUACAGUGAAUGCUAACCUAGAACAUGACACCGGUCGAAUCAAGAGCUCGAAGGUACAUGUGAUGGACACCCUAGGGCAGCCAAAUGAUGGAUGGGGUGGCAUGGACGAGCCGACACUCCCGAAGAUAGAGAACCCUGGUGAUGUGCUGGACGGAGUUACAAACUUGUUCAAUGACCUCAUCAUAGGAGCCAUUAAUGAAGGACCCUCUGAAGAGAUGGGCCUUGGCCCAUAAGAGUAACUUUUUUACUGCUUUUGCACAUUCCCCUGCAUGGGAAUUUUUAUUAUUUUCUUAAUAAUGUUUUCAGUUUCUUCUUUCUUUUAGUGAUUGAGUGUUGCAUUUUUUCUAUUCAAUAAAUGUAAUUGAUUGAUGAAUUUCAAUGAAAUUACAAGUUUUAUUUUGAGGGCAUGAUGAGGUACACCAAACCAGCCCAAUGAUGAUAUCCAACCGAUAAAAGAAAAGAAAAAUCCAAGGAGAAUUCUGAGGGCUGGGUUUCAUCAUGCUUUCUCGUGUCAAAAUGUUUCAAAAAAAUGCUUUUCCAAAUGUUUUUCAAAAAAAAAUUUCAAAAAAAAAUUCAAAAAAAUAAAACUUGAUUUACUCUGUUUGUCUUUUUGACCCAUCUACUUUUUGUUUCAGAGACGGUCUUAUAACAUGUAAAGGUGUGGAAAUGGUCCAAUCCGAUUUCGGAUCCUGGGGGCAAGUUCGCUCCGAAUUACAGUGGCCCCGUAUGUGGUAAAGAAGAUACUUCAUAAAUGUGCCUUGAUCUUGGCAGAAAUGCAUGGUCAUGAGUUAAUUCUGAUGUUGUCAAGAAGUGUUAUCUGUGAUAGAACUUGCCAUGUCAUGUUUUGAACUGCAAGCUUUUCUAUGAUGAGUAAAUUGCUUAAAUGAAUUGAAUUGUUCAAAUCCGUUGCAAAUUUUGCAUAUUUUCCCCGAUGAAUUGUGUGAGAUGAAUUGAAUAUGUCUAAUGGGGUACUUUGGAAUGACGAAAGGCAAGCCUUAGUCUAUACAUUGUUUCAUACACUAACCCCCAGUGAGUUGUAUGAAAAAUUCCAUGCCCGCAAGGAAGGGGGCUAUCUCGCAAAGGGUACGUCAACCAAGGUGAUAAGAGGCAUUCUUUUAUCUAUCCCAAACACUACAUGUGAUCCAUUGCUCAAUCCCUUUGAGCCCCAUACACUUAUGGAGAUUCUUUUAAAAUUACCCCUAUCAAGGAUCAUCCUAUAAUGGGGCAAAUUUAAAAUGAAUGGUAGGAAUCUUUUUCCUCACACUUGCAUCAAUCUUCGAGCAUCGCUUUUGCAGUGUAACUUACGCGGUAAUUCAAGUGCCUUAGAAUGAAAAAGAGCAGUUCUUUCUUUAUCCUACACACUUUUGACUAUUGCAUAACCCACUUGAGUCUAUAAAUUCAUUUCAUGUCAAACCCAAUUGGUGAUCAUCCUCCACACUGGGGCAAGGCAAAAAGAAUCAUUCAAGUAAUAGGGCUUAGAAUGCUAACAAAGGAUGGUUGUGCGAGUUCAAAAAAAUUAAUAAGUGCAAAAAUAAUUGGGCAUGAAAAAGCAGUGUGCCUGGUGAGAGUUCUAGUAUGAAUAAAAUAAAGGAGUUAGGGAAGAGAAUAAGAACACGAGAUUUAUAGUGGUUCGGCUUAAUCCAAGCCUACGUCCACUCUCCCACGAUAACAGCCUUCUUGGCUGGAUUCCACUAUGCAAUCAACAAGAGAUUACAACUUCGAGUGCAAACACUUAGUAGUAGAUCACACUAUCUUACUAAGUCACUCUCUUGGUAUUUCUCUCACGAUUACAAACGUUUAAGCUCUCAAGAGACAAGUAUAUGAUCGAAAGUCGCUUAGACUUUGGAAUUAUAAAUUCUACGCUCCGUCUCUUACUUGCUCAUCGGUCCAUGAUCUCCUUAAAUACUCCUCCACUUCCAAACUACCGUUGGAUAGUAUCCCGGAGAAUCGUCUUCCAAUAUACCCAUUGGACAGCUCUGUAUCUAGAAGAUUUGGUAGCCGUUGAGUGACAAAGGUAAAAUCCCAAAUUGAUUCCGAUCGCCCAUACAAACGAAAUCUUGGUUUCCAUAAGUAAAGCUUCUUCGUAUAGAAAGUUCUUGUCUUCAAUCAAAUCAAUCUUGAUGUGGAAUCCAAACCAGAUCACUAGCCGUUGUAUGAUUGGGCUUGAGUUACGAUUCAUCGUAAUCUGGAUGUAAAGUCUGAGUCUUUAGACUUUACGAUAUGAGUCUUGAGACUUUACAAUCUGGGUCUGUAGACUUUACAAUAUGAGUCUUGAGUCUGACAGUCUUCAGACUUUGACACAGAAGUCUGAAAAUCUUCAAAAUAUACUCUGGACAUAUGUUACGUUCAGUCUUCUGGCCAUCUUCUGACUUUGAUAAAAUCCUUUACAUGUUCUAUCAUCUGCAUGGUCUAUUACUCAACCAUCAAACAUGUUAGUAGCCUUUGAUUUAUUUUGUCAUCUUCAAAACAUCAUAAGGGAUUUCCCUAACAAUCUCCCCCUUUUUGAUGAUGACAAAACAAUCUCUGAAUAUGCAGAUUUGUAAACAUACUUUUAAAUCAAAGGAUAUCAGAAGAUAACAAAUAGAUUGAGCAUAACAAUAUUUAGAAAAUAAUCUCAGCUCAAUAUUAUGCCAUAGAUAAUAUCAACCAAUCAGCACAUAUGCAUAUUCAUAUCUUCUCCCCCUUUUUGUCAUAAUCAAAAAGCGAUAAUGGAUUCACGUAGAGAAUGAUAACAAAUAUCUUACAUGAAUCACAAUUUCCACAAAUCAGCUUUUAUAAAGUAAAUCGAAUAUUGAAGAUAUGCAAUAUAGCUCACUUCGAUUAUAUCAGUAAAUAUCCAAUAAAAAUCACGAAUGCAUCAUAAAAUUUACGUACCAUUUUUGUCAUAAUAAAAUGAUAAUAUCAAUAUGAGAUUUGUUAAUGACAAAAGGUAAUAAGAGAUGCACUAACCGGAUUUUGUAGAAUAAAUUCUGAUACAAUUUACCUUUCCUUCCAUCCAUAAUAAGAUCACGAUCAAUCAAAAAAGAUUUUUCCAUAAUUGAUCAAAGCUCCCCCUCAAUUUGUUGCCUUUUUGAGAUGAUCACGAUUCUUUUCCUUUUCUUUUGGAUUUGCUUUCUCCCCCUUGAUUUCCUCAUCGAAUUCUGAGUCUGGUUCUGAAUGAGACUCUGAUUCUGAGUCUGUGUCUGAGUUAGACUCAGAUUCUGAAUGUGCCGUCAAGCAUAUAUUUCUUUGCACAUCAUCUUCUUCUUUUUUGUUCUUUUCUGGCCAUUCUGCUUGUAUUUUCUUCCAUCGAAAUAUGGUGGCCUUGUGUUUCUUUGCCCUUCCAUAAGUCCUGGUGCCAACAUACUAGCCAUGGAUCUUUAACUCUGAAGUAAAACACUUCAAACAAAGUGAGUACACAGGCUCUGAUACCAAUUGAGAGUUCUAGUAUGAAUAAAAUAAAGGAGUUAGGGAAGAGAAUAAGAACACGAGAUUUAUAAUGGUUCGGCUUAAUCCAAGCCUACGUCCACUCUCCCACGAUAACAGCCUUCUUGGCUGGAUUCCACUAUGCAAUCAACAAGAGAUUACAACUUCGAGUGCAAACACUUAGUAGUAGAUCACACUAUCUCACUAAGUCACUCUCUUGGUAUUUCUCUCACGAUUACAAACGUUUAAGCUCUCAAGAGACAAGUAUAUGAUCGAAAGUCGCUUAGACUUUGGAAUUAUAAAUUCUACGCUCCGUCUCUUACUUGCUCAUCGGUCCAUGAUCUCCUUAAAUACUCCUCCACUUCCAAACUACCGUUGGACAGUAUCCCGGAGAAUCGUCUUCCAAUAUACCCAUUGGACAGCUCUGUAUCUAGAAGAUUUGGUAGCCGUUGAGUGACAAAGGUAAAAUCCCAAAUUGAUUCCGAUCGCCCAUACAAACGAAAUCUUGGUUUCCAUAAGUAAAGCUUCUUCGUAUAGAAAGUUCUUGUCUUCAAUCAAAUCAAUCUUGAUGUGGAAUCCAAACCAGAUCACUAGCCGUUGUAUGAUUGGGCUUGAGUUACGAUUCAUCGUAAUCUGGAUGUAAAGUCUGAGUCUUUAGACUUUACGAUAUGAGUCUUGAGACUUUACAAUCUGGGUCUGUAGACUUUACAAUAUGAGUCUUGAGUCUGACAGUCUUCAGACUUUGACACAGUCUUCAGACUUUGACACAGAAGUCUGAAAAUCUUCAAAAUAUACUCUGGACAUAUGUUACGUUCAGUCUUCUGGCCAUCUUCUGACUUUGAUAAAAUCCUUUACAUGUUCUAUCAUCUGCAUGGUCUAUUACUCAACCAUCAAACAUGUUAGUAGCCUUUGAUUUAUUUUGUCAUCUUCAAAACAUCAUAAGGGAUUUCCCUAACACCUGGUAAAAGUAAGGCCAAUGCCCAGAAAAGAGAAAAAAAAAUCAAACUCUUGAUAUAGUGAGUCAUAUCCCCAACAAUGUGAUACUUAAAAAACUCAAAUGUUGUUACAAUCAAUGGAGUUGUGAUAUAAAAAAAAAAAAAAAAAUCUUCGACAGGGAAGAAGGAAAGUGGUGGAAAUGUCAAGAUGAUCACCAACUUUAACUUCCCUAAACACUUUUUUUUAGCUUAAUGAUCCUUUCAUUUCUCAACCCAUGAACCAAACCCACAUUACGUCUCUUGUAAAGUUUCUUCUGAUUAUGGCACUUGAAUUAACCUAGGGGUUCGCAUGUUUUAAGCAUCGCUCGAAAAAAGUGUAAGCAAGAUUAUUUCUUUCUUAUUUUGCAGGGUUCUUGACUUGUAAACCCAGAGAUGAUUACCGAAUAUCACUCAUUCUUUCAAAAACCUCGACUCAAAGAGUCCCUUUUGUUAAGCCAUUGACCAAGCCCACAUUACGGUCCCUGUUAAAGACCCCUCAGAUUAGUAAGGUUGUACCACUUGCGAGAUUGCACAAAACCUUGUUUGGCAUGACGACAGUGAGAUAAAGUGAUUGCCAAAAUCUUGCGUCAAAGGUCAGGAUGAAACAACCCUUUUGAUAAAGAUGAGAGAAAAGUCCUUUUAGACAAAAAGAUCCCUCAUUUGACACAUGCAUGACACUCAUGUGUUCAGAUUGGAAUAUUCUUUUGAGAUAUUUCCCAAUAAAAAUUAGGUAAUGCAAGAAUGAUAGAUUUCAUCAUGCAUGAACCUCAUUUGAAUCAAUGCAUGUCUAUGAAUGCAUAUUGCCUCUCCUUCAAUUGUUUUGCAGGAGACAUAUCCCCAAGGAACAGAGUUGUCACCAAGUAAGUCUAUCUCUAUCCAUACCUUAAAUACUUGUCAUUGUACAGGUAUUCCUUUUCAAGCACCGGCGCUCGAUGGAGUCACCCCCAAAGAUUUUUCCUAGAUUCAUUAGGCAACCGUAGAAUGGUACGGGUCCUGAAAAUAAAUCACAGUUUAGGCGACUGUAGAAUGGUACAAGUCCUAGAUAGCAUUCAAGCGACUGUAGAAUGGUACGAGUCCUAGAAAAUAGAUCCCCGUUUAGGUGACCGUAGAAUGGUACGGGUCCUGGAAAAUCAUUUUUUUCGUUAAGGCGACCAUAGAAUGGUAUGGGUCUUAGACAAUAUUCAAGUGAUCAUAAAAUGAUACGGGUCCUGGAAAAUAAAUCUUCGUUUAGGCGACCGUAGAAUGGUACGGGUCUUAAACAACCUUAGUUUAGGCGACCGUAGAAUGGUAUGGAUCCUAGACAACCUCAGUUCAGGCGACCAUAAAAUGGUACGGGUCCUAGACAGCAUUUAGGCGAUCGUAGAAUAGUACGGGUCCUGGAAAAAUCAUUUUUUCGUGAAGGCGACUGUAGAAUGGUACAGGUCCUAGAUAACAUUCAGGCGACUAUAGAAUGGUACAGGUCCUAGAUAACAUUCAGGCGACUGUAGAAUGGUACGAGUCAUAGAAAAUAAAUCCCAGUUUAGGCGACCAUAGAAUGGUACGGGUCCUAGGCAACACCAGUUCAAGCGACUGUAGAAUGGUACGGAUCCUGGAAAAUCAUUUUUUUCGUUUAAACGAUCGUAAAAUGGUACAAGUCCUAGACACAACCAAACAAUGCCAUACGAGGCGAUCGUAGAAUGGUACGGGUCCUAGGAAAGUAGUCACUUUGUGAAGUUAUGUUACUAUUCUGGGCAACCAUAGAAUGGUACGGGUCAUGGACAUAUAACACCAAUCUAUCUUGAGUUACUCUACCAUCCCCAAAGGUAAGUAAUUUCAGGUAAGUCACUCAGUGCAUGUGCAUGACCAAAAUUUAGGCCUCAAUUUGUCUUUUAAGGCAACCUCUACGAGCUCACUUUCAAAGUGGGGCAGCUGUUGACACCUAAUUUUGGAAAAAUAAUAUUUCAUUUUGAACAAAUAAAAAGAAAAAAAUGAAAAUGGGAGAAAAUGAUUUGAUUGAAUUAUGCAAGGAAAUAUGGAAUUCUGAUGGAUGUCCGGAUUUUGUUAAAUGUAGCAACAAUUUUGAAAUCAAGUGAAAAAUGGGCAAGAAUUGAGCUGAUUAUCAAAUCAUACAAAUUUGAUUUAAUGUGAUAAGAAAUGGUAACUCGGGAAAUGCCAUGUAAAGAGACCAUUUUGAAUCACUAUAAAAGAGAGGCUCAUUUUCAUGACUGGGGGAGAGCAAAUUCGAAGGAAAAAUCGAGAAAAAAAUUGUUUUCUUCCGUUGAGCACAUUUUUCUUCAGUUUUUUUUGAAGAGUAAAAGUCAAAAAGAAGGAAAAGUCAUGUUUGCAGAAGGGAAACAGUAGAGAGAGAGAGUACAGAGACAGAGAGGGAGAGCGUAAAGAGAGAGAGAGAGAGAGAGAGAGAGAGAGAGAGAGAAAGCUACAGUGUCGUCUUCUUCGCAAGGGCUCCCCUGUCUGUGCCAGCCUGUCCUUGCGCUGGCCACUGCGCCGGCACCACGACGCUGAACACCGUCGCGCCUUGCCACCUCGCCAGUUCACUCCUUGCGCCCACCACCGCAACCGUGACCCAGCUACGCCUUCGCAUAUGCCGACUGCUACACCCGCGACUCCAGACCGCCACUCUGAGGUUUUCCCCUGUGAGAUCGCGUCUAGCCCUCGCUCCUCGCCGUCGCGACCUAGCCUCGACGCCAGCAGAUCUGUGAUCCCCUGCAGCAGCCGUAACUUGAGUGCCUGAGCUUCGCCUCUGCCGUCGCCGAUCUGCAGCACCAGAAGUCUUGGCGCUCUUGCUUGCCUUCGCUCAACGCCACCAGAGACCACACCGCCCUUGCUCGCCUCCGCUCGACGCUCAGCCACCGCUGCGCCGCUGUCCCUACCGUGACCCGACGCCACCAGAGCCCGCACCGUCGCUACUCGCCUCCGCUCGGUGCCCGACAACCAACCUCGCGCCCACGCUACCGCUGCUUGCCUCACCCACGUCUACACCAGCACCCGAUGCCCACGACCCUCCUCUGCUCCGACGCCACAGCCUCCCCCGUGCACCCCUUGCCGUCACCCUGUUUCGCGAGACUGUUGCUAGCGAAUCCCCUCACCGGAGCAACCAUCAUCUUCGCUUGGAAAAAAGAAAAAGAAAAAGAAAAAAAUCAAUUUAGGUAGUUUUUUCUUCUAUUUAUUUAUUGUAUUUAUUUUCAUUAUUUUUGUUAUUUUACUUUAUUUGUUCUUUUUAGUAUAAUUAGUCUUUAAUAUAUGAUUGGAAAUUUUAACACACCACUUGAUUCACAACCAAAUUUGGGUUUUUUUAGUUCAUCUAUAAGGUUUUAGAUGAAAUAAUUAAUCAAGCGGGAAUAAAAUUGAUAUUUUGAUAUUUAAGGCUUAAGAUCAAUUUAUCGAUUUUUCUAGCGAAAUACCAUCUCUCGAUCUAAAUGAUGUGUGAUAUUUUUUGGUAAUUUUGGAUGGUCUUGAUUGCUUUAUUUAUCUUGAAAUGUGUUUGAGUUAUAAUAUUGCAUGUUUUAGGGCUUACAUAUUUAGAAUAGGAAUUUUAUUUCGAAUUUUAAAAUCAAAAAUCAAAAAAAUCAAAUCAAUCAAUUUAGGUUGCUAUAUUUUUAAUUUGGAUUGCAUGUUUAAUUAUUUGGCAAUAAUUAAUUUCGAAAUUAAACAAAAACAAAAAAAAAAUCAUCAUGCAUAUGUCAUGUAGAAUUAUGGCAUAUUUUAUACAUGGUAAAAUUGCAUAUUUCAUUUUAAGUUUAGAUUAAUUUAGAUAGAAUGCAUCUUAAGUUAGAGAUUAGUAAGUUAAGAUAAUAUCUAGGUUUUAAUUAGGGUUUCGCCUGACCUAAUCCUUAAUAUAAGUUAGAUAGAAUCUUAAUUUAGCUAGAUAAUUUUCACAUUUUUCUAAUUUCAAAAUUUCAUAAAAAAUACAAAAAAAAAAAUGUCUUUGAAUGAAUUAGGUUCAAUCUCUAGGAUAGAUUGCAUUUUUUAAAAAUAAAAUAAAAUAAAAAUGUCAUUGCAUGUCAUUUAGAAUUAGAUUCAUGAAAUGCAUGCCACUUAGUAAUUUUGCUAGGUCCAUUUAAUUAGAAAUUGCAUGUCAUUAGAAUUAGGUCAUUUAGUUAAUGCUGCAUUGCAUAUUGCAUGAUUUUCAUUAAUCAAGCGAAAACAAAAAAGAAAUUGCGUGUUAAUUAGAAAUCAUGUCUAGGGUUGUUGAUGUGGAUUCUAAUUUAACAUUGCAGAUGCUUUGGUUGCUUUGAAGUAAGUUUUUGCAAUUUAUUCAUUGUUUAUCUGGGUGUUAAAUUGGUGGUUUGCGCACCCGCAUGAUCACCUUGCAUAUUAGGGAAAUAGAUUUAAAAUCAAUUCAAACUACAUGCGAAAAACAUUUUUGAAAAAUAAAAGAAUGGUACUAAAAGGGCAUUAGAGAAAUCUAGUGUAACCAAGUCCUCGAAUCCAUAAUCUCUGGUUUGUAGGAGUAAAGUAAAACUCCAAUUACUUUACUGGGGUUUCUAAUUUACCCACCAAAAAUAGAUUAGUGGCGACUCCUAGAUAAAAUUCAUUUGCAUGUUAAGAAAUUUGAACUUAAGUUGCGAAUUGGUAUGGGCCUGGGAGAGCUCGAGUUAAGUCUAGGCUUAACAAUCCAUUAGCCUAAUUUUAGGUGGUUCACCCGAAAAAUAGGUCACGAAAAAUGCCAAUCGCAAUCCGGCUAUCCAGAUGAAUGCAAGGCAACAACAAACUGCUUGCUGUCAAUUGUUUGCUAAGCAAAUAAUAGAAGACGGUUCACUCCUCUCUCUGAAUCUCCAUCCCAAGUAUUGACAAUCCUUAGAAAGAAAGGCUUACUUACUAGCGAGCCGAGGCGGCCUAAUCGCAAACACAUUUGGGAUUAUGACUUGGCAAAGAAAUGUGAUUAUCACAGCAGUGAAUUGGGACAUUCAACUGAUGAAUUUUUUGCCCUCAAACACCGAAUCCAAAACCUCUUAGAUACAAAGGCGUUCUCUUUCAGCAGUAAUUAGAAAAAUCCUCUGCCUAGCCAUGACGGAGGCGCAAAUGCUGUCACUAAGUGAAGAAGUUCUUAUCUUCACACUACUCAAUGAAGGAGUCUUUUUUUUUUUAUGCUCUCUAGGAUUUCCCGCUUUCUAAGAAUUCAAUUAUUGCUUUCGAUUCUAGGGUUUGCUUGUUCGCAAUUUUCAUUGUAAUAAUGUAAUUCAUUUGAUUCUAUUCAAUGAAAUUACAAUUUUAUUUCCAAUUUUGAGAGCAUGACGGGGUACACCAAACUAGUCCAAUGACGAUAUCCAACCAUGAAAAGAAAGUAUCAUCCAUGGAAAAAUCUUGAGGGCCGACUUUCUCAAGUUUCCUCCCGAAAACUUUUUCGAAAACAAAAGCAUUUCACUCUUAAAAAAAAAAAACAUUUUCCCAAAGCUUAUAGCAAAUUAAACCUGUUUAUUUGUCUGACUCAUUUACUUCUUGUCUCAGAGCAUAAUUCUAUAACUUGUUAUGACAUGGGACAUCAGAAAAUAGCAUAUCAAGAUUCAAUGAUCAUAAACUUGACUCGUGAUCAACAGGCUUAGAGCGCACUUGCAAUGAAAAAACAUAUUUGGGGCAAGUAAAAGAGGACCAUCAUUCUCCAGUGGAAGAUCUUGGGGGCAAGUUUGCUCCAAAUUACAGCGGCCUAUAUGUGGUGAAAAAUGUGCUUCUUGGAGGUGCAUUGAUCCUGGCAGAAAUGGAUGUUCAUGAGUUUUCUAUUCCAAUUAAUUCUAAUGCUAUCAAGAAGAAUUAUCCAUGAUUGAAUUUUCCAUGUCAUGUUUUGAACUGCAAGUAUUUUUAUGAUGAAUAAAUUGUCUCAAUGAGUUGCAAAUUCAAUGAUCCAAAUUUGUUACAAAUAUUGCAUGUUUUUCUUGAUGAAUUGUGUGAGAUAAAUUGAAUAUGUCAAAUGGGAUACUUUGGAAUGACGAAAGGCAAGUUUUAUUCCAUACACUGUUCAUACACUAAUCCCUAGUAAGUUGUGUGGAAAAAUUCCAUACUCAUGAGGAAAAGGAUGAUAUCGCAAAGGGUACGUCAACCAAGGUGAUGAGAGGCAAUUUCUUGUUCAACCCAAACCACUAUAGGUAUACCUAUUGUUUAGCUCUUUGAGCCCACACACAUGAAGAGUUUUUUAGAUUAUCCCUAUCAAGGAUCAUCCCAUACUGGGAUAAAAUUUGAAAUGAAUGAUAGGAAUUUUCUUACUCACACUUGCAUCAAUCUUCGAGUAUUGCUUUUGUAGAGUAACUUAUAUGGUAAUUGAAGUGCCUUAGGAUGAUGAAAAGCAAAUCUUUCUCUAUCAUAUACACUUUUAUCCAUUGCAUAGCCCAUUUGAGCCUAUGAAUUCGUUUCACAUUAAACCCAAUUGGUGAUCAUCCCUCACAUUGGGGCAAGGCAAAAAAAAAAAAAAAACAAACCACUCAAGUAGCAUGGUUUACAAUGCUGAUAAAAAAUGAAGGCUGUGCGAGUCUAAAGAAAAUAAGUGCAAAAAGAGGGGCAUGAAAAAGUAGUAUGCAAACCACCACACUGAGUGGUGCUGCUGGCUUCGAACUUUCUCCCCCUCACGAAGGGGAGAAGUUCGAAUCCCCAGCACGUCGCAGGUGGACUUACCUGUUUCAUAGGGGUGGUGGGUUCCUCCGUGGGUCCCAGGGUUUGCCCGUCGGUUGUUGGCUUACGGGUUUCCUUGGGUCAUCAAAAAAAAAAAAAAAAGCAGUAUGCAUGGUAAAAGCAAGGCCGCCAAUCCCCAAAGAGAAAAAUCAAACACUUGAUGUAGUGAGUCUGUCCCCAACAAGGCAGUACUAAGAAACUCAAGUGCUGUUGCAAUCAAUGGAGUUGUGAUGUAAAGAAAAUCUUCGACGGUGGAGAAGAAAAUUGGUGGAAAUGUUAAGAUGAUCACCAACUUUGACCCCCUUAAACAAUUUUUGAGCCUAAUGAUCCUUUUGUUUCUCACCAAUGAACCAAGCCUACGUUACAUCCCUUGCAAAGUCUCUUCAAAUUAGGACACUUGAAUUAAUGUAAAAGUUCAUAUGUUCGAAAGCAUGACUCGAAGAAGUGCGAGUAAAAUAAUUUAUGCCUCAUUUCAUAGGUUUCUUGACUUGUAAACCCCAAGACAAGUGAGAAAUGUCAUUUUUUAAUAGCCUCGACUCAAAGCGUCUCAUUGUUAAGCCAUUGACCGAGUCUACAUUACGGUCCUUAUUAAAGACCUCUUAGAUUGGUAGGACUGUAUCACUUGCAAGAUUCCUUAGACCCUUGUUUAGCAUGACAAUGGUAAGAUAGAGUGAUUGACAAAAUCCUGUAUCAAAGGUUAGGAUGAAAUGACAUUUUUAAAUGAGGAUGAGUGAAAUGUCCUUUCAGAUCGAAGGAUCCCUCAUUUGACAUAUCCAUAACACUCAUGUGUUCAGACUAGAAUAUUCUUUUGAAAUCUUUCCCAACGAAAAUUUGGUGAUGCAAGAUUGAUAGAAAUCAUCAUGCAUGAACUUCCCUUGAAUUAAUGCAUGUCUGUGACCAUAAAUGCAUGUUAUCUCUCCUACAACUAUGUUUUACAGGAGGCAUAUCCCCGAGGAUCAAAGACUUUACCAAGUAAGUAUAUCUCUAUCCAUACCUUAAAUACUUGUCAUUGCACAGGUAUUCCUUUUCAAGUGCACCGACACUCAACUUGGUUGAGCUGUCCCUGAAGAGAUUUUUCUCUAGAUUCAGUAUGAUUAAGGCGACUGAAGAAAGGUUCGGGUCCUAGUAGAUGAUCCAUGCUGCAACGCUAGGUAACCGAAGAAAGGUUUGAGUCUUAGCUAAGCAAAACCUCAUUUUAGGCGACCGUAAAAUGAUACGGGUCCUAGAUAAUGUUUAUGACUCUAACAGGCGACUGUAGAAAGGUAUGGGUUCUGGAAAAGCCAUUUCCUAUUCAAGCGAUCGUAGAAAGGUAUCGGUCCUAGAAAGUGACUUCUCGUUUAGGCAACCGUAAAAAGGUACGGGUUCUAGACAAUAUUUGUAGCUCUAACAGACGACUGUAGAAAGGUACAGGUCUUGGAAAAGCUAUCUCCCAUUCAGGCGACCGUAGAAAGGUACGGGUCAUGGAAAAGUGAUUCCUCAUUUAGGCGACUAUAGAAUAGUACAGGUCCUAAACAUUACACUUAGUGCUCCCAUUUAGGCGAUCGUAGAAAUGUACAGGUUCUAGACAAUGUUUGUUGCUCAUAUAGGCGACCGUAGAAAGGUACGAAUCUUGGAAAAACUAUUUCUCAUUCAGGUGACCGUAGAAAGGUAUGAGUCUUGAAAAAAUUAUUUUUUUCGUCAAGGCGACCAAAGAAAGGUUCAAGUCCUAAACAACCAAAUACGGUCAUAUUAGGUGACCGAAGAAAGUUUUUUUUUUUUAAAUACUUUUCCUCAAUCUAUGCCUAACAAAUUUGUGGGUGAUUAAAAUAUUUCUAUUUAUUUUAAAAAAAUAUUUUUCAAAUUACUCAUUUUCCGUAAAAGGACGCACUCGCAAUGUCGUGCGUAUUAAUAUUUGCUACUUUAGUGUAGUGGAAUGCUAAGCAAAGCCCAACAUACAUGAUGAUUCCAAAAGGGCAUGAGUAUCUGCCAUAUCAAUGAUGAUGCUCCUUGCUCUGGCGUUGUUAGCUGAUAGCCGAAUUCAUCCGCUAUAAAUCAUUAGAUAUUGUAGAGAUUGCUUUAUUAAGUUCCACCAGGGACGUGACUACAUAUGAGGUGACACUAUUCCAUUUUGUUGAACUAAGGAUUUUUGGUAAUUUGCAAUCGAAUGCAACUCUCAAUCAUUCCUUGUGUCAAUGCUCUAAUCAGUAAAGUGAUAUCCCGAAUUAACUUCCUAUGGAAAGUAUUUUCCCAUUACCCUAUCUGAAGAAACAUUUUUUUUGUGCUGGUAUAUACAAAUUGUUCCUGGCAAUAGAAAUGUUACUCGAACACACCUGUGAUUUGAAAAAGUAACUACAAUCCGUGGGAUGAGUACACUAAUGGUGCCAUAAGUUGUCUACGGUGCUCACUUUGGUGCCAAAAGUUUUCGUCGGAUCACUUAAGUGUCAAAUCGGAGGAAAAAUGAUCACUUUGGUGCCACCGACGAGAAAUUCCGGCCAAAAUGAUUACGUAGCUUUUAUAUAUAUAUAUAUAUAUAAAUCGACAUGACUUAAGAUUGUCCACGGUGGAUAGCAUAAAACGACGCCAUUUUCCUUUCUUCGUAAGAAACGACGUCAUUUCUUGCCACCCACCAUGGAUUCACAUAAGAAACGAUGUUGCGUUGCUCCAUAGAAAAAAACGAUGUCGCUGAAGAGGAAGUAAAAUAGGGUUCUUAUACGGUUCUCCUCGACGCUGGCAUAGCUCGCUCAGCCACCGUCAUUCGCUCGCCUGCCGUCGCUCAGCCACCGUUGUAGUUGCGCCGUCAUUCACGAUUGUUCAGGUUUGUCAUGUUCUCUACGUGGAUUAAUUUUGCGAAAAAUUUAGGGUUUCGACUGGCAAGUUAGGGCAUGGAGGGCAAAUUGAGGGCUCGGCUAAGGGGGAAAGUAGUGGGGAAAGUGGUGGCGAUGUCACUUUUAUGGGGAGGGAAUAGAAAAAUUAAUUCUUCCAUCGUUCGUUCGCUUUAUGUUGUGGGAACCGAAUAGAAAAAUAGGGUGCGGAGGGGCUUGACUCGAAGGGAAACAGUGGUGGGAUUGAAUUUGUUUGUUUAAUUAUUGGACUGCUUUUAUGGGGGAUCGAAUGUGAAUGUGAUUGAAUUGAAAAAUGGCUGGUGGGGACCUCACUUUGUUUAUUUAAUUCGAUUUAUUUUGUUUCUAUAAAUGCAUCAAAUUGGGGAGAUUUUAGUCACAUUUGUUCCUUGACAACAAAACGACAAGGACCUGCAUGUGAAGUUGUCGAUUCUGUCAUGUGGUUCCAACAAAACGACAAUGACUCUUUUUUUUUUUCAUUGGGUGCGGCAUUGACAUGGACGCGAAUCAGGUAGGUAUCAUUGUUUGCUAUGGUGGAGAGUUUGUUAUUGACACUAAAGAUUGUGAAUAUAGUUGUGGAAAUGAAUAUACUAUUUAUGUCAAUGUUUGGAAGCCAUCAUAUAUUGAUUUUCUGAGGGAUUUUGUGUAUUUUUUACGAUGCAAAGUGCAAAAACUACAUUACUAUGUUCCUGAGAAGGAAUUGAAUGAUGGGUUGAGAUUUUUUAAUGACGAUAAUGGUAUUAAGGAUAUUAGUUAUCAUUAUCUUCACGGUGAAGAAGCUAAGGUAUAUGUUGAGUAUUAUAGUAAGGAUGAGGAUACGGAUGAGGAUGGGGAUGAGCAGACCACCACUGAAGGAGGAGAAGUGAGGGAUCUUGUUCAAGCGAGUAAUUAGGUCGAGGAUGAGUUUAGGUUAGAUGAAGAGAAAAAUGAGAGGAAGAUAAGUCAUAUUGAUAGAGAUGAAUAAAGAGGGAGAUGUCUUGAAAUCUUGGGUGAAGAUUUGGGUGAAGAUGUGGGCGAUGAAGACUUCAUUGGAUUAGAAUGGGAAAUUAAUUUAUCUAGUGAAUCGGAAGAUGAAUGUUUGGCUUUAGUAAAUUUCCCAAGUGACGAAGAUGAUGAUGAACUCGCACAGUCAAGACAAAAGGAAAAGGAUUUUCUGAGAAAAAAAACUUGCAGCUUCAGCAAAAGGGCCCGAGCUAGUAAAUAGGGAUGGAGAUCCAGCUGAGGGUAAUAGAAGUGAAGAUGAAGAAAUCUGUAGCGAUGAAGUUGCUGGUUCGGAAAAUGAGCUUGACAAUGAUGAUAAAGAACCUGCUCCUCGAAGAAAAAGUAAGUACCCUUGUUAUGAUCCGACUGUUGAUAAACCUAUUUUGUGAGUGGGCAUGAGAUUUGACGAUGCCAAACAGUUCAAGGAAGCUGUUGUGAAGAACUCAAUUAGUGAACAGAGGAGCGUUAAAUUCAUUAGAAACACGAAGGAAUUUGUGAGAGCUAAAUGCUCACAACCUAAUUGUUCGUGGAAGCUCUAUGCCACGCUUAGUAAGAAUGGGUCAUUCCAGAUUAGGUCAUUUUAGGAGGAGCAUACUUGUCCAAUUAUAUUUAACAAUAAAAGGGUAACAAGUGAGUGGUUAUCAAAGCAUUUUUUUUCAAUACUAUCAAAGCAAUGCCCGAGAUCAAGAGUCCUCAAUUUCAACAGUUAGUAAAGGAGCAAGUGGGGGUUAAUAUGUCGAGGAAUCAAUGUAAGAGAGCUAAGAUGAGGGUGAUGAAGAUAUUGAUGGGUGGGUAUAAGGAAGAAUAAGCACAGGUAUGAGAUUAUGCUAGUGAAUGCAUGUUUCAAAACCCAUCUAGUAGGGUAUAUGUAGAGGUUGUGAAGAGGCCACUCCCUGAUCUUGGGCCUAAAUUUGAUAGAUUUUAUGUCUAUUUUGAUGCAUGCAAACGGGACUUCUUGGCUGGUUGUAGAAGAGUUAUAGGAUUGGGUGGAUGCUUUUUAAAGGGUUUAUGCAAGGGGGAGUUGUUGGUUGCUGUGGGAAGAGAUGCCAAUAAUUAAAUAUUCCCGAUAGCUUGGGUGGUAGUAAAGAUAGAGAACAAGGAUAUUUGGUCCUGGUUCCUAAAAAAUUUAAUGGCUAACCUUGAGAUAACCGAUGGGGGAGGAUGGGCAUUCAUGAGCGAUCGACAGAAGGUAAUUUCAUUGUCAAUUAAUUCACUCCCUUUUAAUAUUAAUUACUUGCAUAUUUUUCUUGACUUGUAUUUAUUGGUUUGAAUUUUUGUAGGGACUUAUUCCUGCAUUGGCUGAGUUGAUGCCACAUGCUGAGCAUAGAAUGUGCACGAGGCACAUAUAUGCAAACUGGUCAAGGAACUUCAAAGGAGAUAGGUUGCAGAAGCAAUUCUGGCAGAUAGCAAAGAGUACGAAUAUGGCUGAUUUCAUAUUAGCCAAAUAAGGAUUGUUGUAGCUGACAAAUGAAGGUUUUGAUGCACUCUUCUAAACAGAAGAGUUCAAAUGCGAUAUCAUUGAUAAUAACCUCAGUGAAGCUUUCAAUGGUAGAAUUUUAGAGGCCAGGUGUAAACAUCAUCAACAUGCUUGAUGAUAUUCAAGUUAUGGUUAUGACUAGACUGCAUAGGCAAAGAGAUGAGGCUACAAAAUGGAGUAGAGACUGUGGCCCUAGGAUUGUGAAGAGAUUGGAUGUAAAUAUUGUUGCUAGUAGGUUUUGACAUCCAAUUUAGAAUGGAGAUAAUGGAUAUGAGAUUAUUCAAAAUUUGGAUAAGUAUGUUGUCAACUUGGAUAGAAGAAAAUGUUCAUGCCGAGCCUGUCAACUGAAUGUAAUUCCCUGUGCCCAUGUCAUUUGUGCUAUUCGAAUGAAGCAAGAAAACCCAGAUGAUUACCUACAUAAUUGGUGCAAAAAAAGCUCAUGCCUUACUUCAUACCAAUCCAUGAUGCUGCCUAUCAGAAGUAGCAAAUUUUGGGAGCCAACAAAUCAUGAAAUCCCUCUACCUUUACCGCUUAAGAAACAAAUAGGAAUGCCAAAAAAGAGACGAAGAAUGUAGCAGGAAGAGGCAUCAAGUCAAAGGAUGAGUAGGACUAGAUCAAAGAUGAAAUGCUCCUAUUGCCGCAAGUAAGGGCACAAUAAGAAAGGUUGUGAGCUAAAAAAGCAGCAUCAACAACAAGAUGCAAUGGCUGAUUCAGUGCUAGGGAUAGGACCUACUGAAGAGUUUCUUGUUGGGCCUAUUGAAGGGAGGACAGAAGGCCCUGUUGUAAUGCCUACUGAAGGGAAAACAGAAAGCCAUGCUGUAAGGUAAGUAUCAUCUUUGUCUCAGUAACUUUACAGCUCUUAUUCGAUAGAGUUUGAUGGUUGACCAUGUGUACUGGCUUCUCUUGUGCUUUUCCUCUGUCAUGCACUUGUGAUUUGAGAAGUUUUCUCCAUUUGUUUCCACCAUGAAAAUGAGUAGAUGUUUAAUUAUUCGUUGUAAUUGGUCAUAAUCCUAAUACAGUACAUUGUUGUAAGGUCUACUAAAGGGCCAAAAAAAUGCCCUGUUGUAGGCUCAAGUGUAGAGACAGGGACUGGAAUGGGCAAGACAGCAAUAACAACAACUGAGUUCAUAGUUGAGCAAACAAGAAAAAAAUAUCAUGUAAGCUGUACAUCGCUGUAUUUGGUCUUUUAUGGGCUAAAAUUUACAUUUGUUAUGUGUUUCUCAGGUGAGAAGAUGAGCAACUGCACAAGUUGCAGAGGUUGCUACAAGGAUUGUUGUUGCUGAAAAUGAUGCACCACAACGAACAAGAGGGGCUCUUGGAAAAAGAUUAAGGCAAUAUGGUUAUGUGAUUUACACAAAUAAACGUACUGGAAGACUAUUUUGAAUGUAAGAUUUAUAGGCCUCAUGCAUUUAAUUUUUUGUACUUCAAUUCAUUUGGUUGACAAUAUCACUAUGUUCUUGUAGCCGAAGAGAACUUCGGAGGUACUUCUCUCUCAAGGUGGGCCAACUCAAGAAUCAAGGGCGCAACCAAAGAAGAGUCCUCCAAAGAAGAAGAAGAAGACAGCAGGUAUAGCUGCGAAACAGCCAUCCAAAAAAAAACCCAACACUAAUUCUAUCUCAACCAACAAUUGGGAGCAGUAGUGAUGAUAUGGACCAACACAUGACAUGUGCUAGAACAAAAAUAACCGCCGUAAAAAACAAGGAAAAGGAAAAUAAGGUGACAGAAAGCCCAGUUAAAGAACAUGCACAUCAGGUUCAAAAGAGUGCUCAGAUUAUGAAUCAAUUCAAAGCUCCAAGAGGAAAAUGAGAUUAGGGUGUUGUCAAUAUUAACCAAUGGGAGGGUGCUGGACAUGGUCUCUUUUCAUGUUUUCUGUUUUUAGGAGUGUGCUGGAUAUUAUAUCACUGAUGGUAGUUGCUGCCUGCAUAUUGCCAUUGUUUUUUUUUUUUUUAAGAGAGUGCUGAACUUUUGAUGAUUGGGGAAUGAAGUUAGACAUGCUUUUUUUUUUUCUUUUGUAAACAAUCAAUCAAUGUUAAUGGCAAGUAUUGGAAUGACUAUUCAUUUUCUCUUGUGUUGGUUUUGGCUAGAAUGUUAGCAAGUCAGUUAUGCUAUAUAUUUUAUUUUUGAUGUUACUACAAUGUUGCUGUUGCUGCAAUGUUGCUGUUGUUGGUUGAAGUUGGGGAUUAUAAUGAAUUUGCGGGGUUCUGAUUAUAUGUGCUGCUACAAGAACACUUUGGGUGCUGGUAUAUCUUGUUGCAUCAACACCUGUAUGGGCUGGUGCAAGAAAAUACACCAGCAACUCAACUGAUGCAAGAAGAAGGUGCAAGGACAAUGUGCAUUUGAAAUGUGACGUUUGGCACUAACAUAUUCUUUUUUAAAAAAACUUGUGCAACAUAAGUGAUCACUUUGUAAUCGCGACUGGCACUUAAAUGAUCAAUUUUAUAAAAACUUGACACUCAAGCGAUCACUAUUUACAACUUAUGGCAUUGAAAUGGUCAAUCAUGAAUUUGCCACCAUCCUUUAAUUUCGGCCAUAGUUUGCAGUUGCAGCAAACCGGCAAACCAGCAAACCAUUACCAAAUAAAAAAUGCAGUAAACCAUUACCAAAUAAAAAAAAUGCAGCAAACCAUUACCAAAUAAAAAAUGCAGCAAACCAUUACCAAAUAAAAAAAUGUAGCAAACCAUUACCAAAAGCUUUCAAUGCAGCAAACUAUUACCAAAUAAAAAAUGCAGCAAACCAUUAUAUUUGUAGCAAAAACUAACCAAAACAAACAUUGACAAUACACAACUAACCAACAAAACUUUUAAGUGCUCACAACUAAUGCAUUCCAAGUCUAACAUUGCAUUUCUAUCCAUAGAUUACAACAACAAAACAUUUUGCUCUAUACAAAAAUUGCAGCAAACCAAAAAAUACAUUUUACUUAUAAAUAAUCAAAUACAAAUACAUAUUCCACGUCUUCGACUAUGGUAGACAUACAAACUUCUUCUCAUUACUCACUUUACAUUUGAAUAAACUACCCAAGAGAAUAAUAACACAAUCAACGCUCGAUAAAAGUUUCUUCCAAUUUUCAGCCUUGAAACUUCUCUCUUCAAAUGGUCCACCAGAGAUGUUAAACCCUUCAUUUGAGCUUGCAUUGAGUUGACAUCCUCCAACUCGUCCAUUAACAUAAGUGGAGGUUGAUUUCAGCCUUCAAGUAACUCCAAUAUCACAUUUGUCGCUCGAUCAGAGAAUUUCCUAUCAACCCAUUUGAAAUAUUGACACUUCGAGCCUUCUCUAUAUCUGCCGCACCCAUGGAAUCUUCUCCUAGGAUUCAACCGAGUCCAAGAUGUUCUUCUUGGACUCGGUAACCCACAAUAACAGUAACACUCACCAUCUAAUUCACUUUUCUUAUAGGAAUGUGAUCCACUGCUGAAGCUUUUGUCCUCCAUUUGCAAGAACGGGUUGAUAACUUUGGGAGAAAAUCGAAGUAUGCACUCGAAAUGGUCGAAUUGGGGAUUUAGGGUUUUCAACUUCCGGUUCUAGUCGAAAUUGGGGAUUUAGGAUUUCUUAUUUGGGGGAAAACGGUAAACGGCAUCGUUUUGUUCUUUGUAUGCUGAUUGUAUUCUCCGGCGAUUCACGUCGGCGUCAAAAUUAAUAAAAAAAACUGCCACGUCGGAUUUCCGGCCAACCAAAUUGGCGAUGGCACCAAAGUGAUCAUUUUUCAAAAUUUUUGGUACUUAAGUGAUCCGAACGGAAACUUUUGGCACCAAAGUGAGCGCCGUACACAACUUAUGGCACCAAUAGUAUACUUCUCCCACAAUCCGUGGAUGAGCGCGUGCUUGCAUUUUUGGAAAUUUCUAUAUUAAUCCAAAUGUUAAACAUUUUCAGUUGGAUAUUUCAUGUUAAUGGAAAAGCUGGUACUUAAUUCGUCUGGAUCAGAUUGUCCUAACUACGUUCCCAGAAUUCAUUACUCACGGUCGUUCCGAAUCAACUAGGUAGAAAAGUGUGGUGGAAGUUAGAGAUAUUUGCAGAUUUCAAAGAAGAAAAAAUGGCUUCUUCUAUUUUUAUUAUUAUUAUUACUUAUCAUUAUUACAAAGCACAUAACUUAUAAAUAGAGCCUAGGACGGCUAACAAUUAGCAAACAAUAGGAAUAAAUUUCGUGCUUCCUAAUUCUUGCGGUUUACUUCCUAAUUCCAAGGAUUCAGAAAUAAAAAGGAAAUAAAAUAAAUGAAAACAAAAUAAUUUAACAUCCUGAGAUUAUCUUUGAGAUAUUCGAGAUUUUCUUCUAAUUCUUCGACACCCCCUUCAAGUUGGUAGGUAAAUGUCUAUCAUGCUCAACUUGUUGACGAGAGACUCGAAGUUAGGUUUGAACAAUCCCUUUGUAAAAAUGUUAGCUAUUUGUUGUGUUGUGGGCACAAAUUGCAGAUAAAUAAUCGAUUUUUUUUUUUUAAAUAUUCGCUGAAAAAAAUAACAGUAAAUUGAACAUAUACACACUCAUAUAUUUUCGUCAAUUGAACAGAUAAAUAAAAUAAAAUAACCGUUCGACAUUCAUAUCUUUUCGACAAAUCUGUCAGCUCAUGGGACCGCGGCAACUGUGCACAAGGAUCUGCAUGUUGAGGCUGGUAAUGCGAUGCGAACGUCGAGCAACUAAAGGAAACAGCUAUACAAGAGGAGCAACCUACUAAACAAAAGGAUGUUCGAACUGAUGGAAAGAAAGACGGUGAAGACGACCGAGUCUAUCUUGAAUUCGAGCCUACGAUUGGUUUCUCCCAGGUCAUGUCAUUCGACUGGUCUCUCUUUUUCUCUCCUGAUCGUAAAAAGUACUUUCAACUCUCUCCUAUCACGUCAGAUGAUUCCACAACCAAUUUCGAUUAUCUCGACUUUCUCUGCAUUCUCGGCACUUUGCAAGUGGGAGUCUAUCCUCAUGCAGUGGCUCUGUUUUACUCCAAUGUAUAUUUUCCUAGCUACGUCAAAUUUGUCUUUACAUUUGGAAAGGAAAACUUUUCCGUGCAUGCUAAACAGUUAGCCGAUAUGAUUCAAACUCCGUUUCCUGAUUUUCUGAAAAUUCCCGGGAGCUACGCCGUCGCUUACAAAUUCGUGCCUGAAGAUCCUGACUUUGCUCCUGGUUACAAAUCAUGUCCCUCUCAAUCUUCUCUGAAACCCUGGCCUUCUUUGUUUUGUGUAUGAGAUUGCAUUGAUAGCUUCAUUCGGAGGAGAGUGGCGUGGAAUAUGAUUUGUUGUAUAGAAGAAACAAGCAAUAGUCAUUUUGUUUCACAGGAAAUGAAUUGUUAAUAUUUAUUUUUUAAAUCACUGCUUCUAUCAUUUAUAAAAAUUAGUAAAUGAAAAAUAUUUUCAUCAUUCAUAAAACUGUCAAGACGUAAAUUGCAGUUGAUGAAAACUUUUUUAGUUGACUAGUUACUUUCCGCGAUACAAGUGAUUAUGAAAAUAUAUUCCAAGUAAUUUAUUUUCCAUGAGAUAGUCGGAGCCUUAUAUUUCAUUAAAAAAGGAAGGUAAUCGGAAGAGUUAUCAUGCUUUUGGAUAAAAGAAUUAGUAGUAGUAGUUCACAUGCCAAAUUGUUUGAUCUUUUGGAAAAAAAGAUGAUGGGUAAAAAUUUUCUUAUAUUGUGUAGAGUUCUGGAUCAUGAUUUUGAAAACGUGGUAUCUUCAUAUCCCUUUUUCAAUGUUUGGCAUUUGUUUUACUCUUUUUCCUAUAAUCACCAUCGUAGAAUUAAUGGUUGAUUAAACUUUAUUUCUGUUAGUAAAAUUUCUAUGUCAAUCUCUCCUUUUGUUCUUGGAAGCUAAGAAAUUCAAACAAUCUCAUUCACAAACUACUCAUGGGGUCCUGUCCCGAGGUGUAGUGUCGCGACCUAAAUUUUGGAUACACCAACUAGGUUUAAGCUAAUAGAUUACUAAAUUUUAAACUUAGCUCAGGCUCUCCCAAGCCCAUACCAAUUUGCGACUUAGAUUCAAAUUUUAACAUGCAAAUGAAUUUUAUUUAUGAGUCAUCACUAAUCAGUUUAUGGUAGGUCGAUUAGACACCUAAGUAAAAUAAUGGAAGAAUUAUUUUACUCCUAAGAAUCAAAGACUUUGGGUAUGUGGAUUAGUUACACGAAACUUCUCUAGUGCCCUUUCGGUACCAUUUCUUUUUAUUUUCAAAAAGAAAUGGUACCGAAAGGGCAUACGGGUGAUCAUACGGGUGUUUAAUCAUUAUUAAACACUUAAUGAAUCAAACGAAUUGCAUCAAAAGAAUUAAAUGCACAAAGCAAACAAUUUUUUUGGGUUUUCUUUUAUCUUGAAAUUAAAAGAUGCACUUUAACUACAUGACCUAAUUUUAUUAACAAGCUAUUUCUAAUUAAAUGAACCUAACAUGCAAACUAUUUGAUAUGCACCUAAUAUUUUUAUAUUUUUUUAUUAAAAUUCGGAAUUAAUAAAAAAAAAAGCUAAUUAAACUAUCUAAAAUGAAUGGUCAUCUAAUUUAGUUUAUGGAUUAAUUUGACUUAAAUCCUAUCGUAUCUUAGAAAACUAUAUUUUUUUAAAGAAAAAUGAGAUUAUUAAAAUGUGCAAACAUUAUUUAAAAGUCUAUCUAUAUGCAAAAAAAACCAUGAAAGAAAGCCACGGCGGCCCACCAGCGGUUCUAAAAUGGUUGCACACCAGUUCUACCUCAUUAGCUCUACACCAGCGGCCCACCGGAUGCCACCUAGCCCUCGGCGGUUUCCCUCACUCUCCUCCUUCAUUCCCUAGUGUCAACCGUCAUCUUCAGUAGCUGAUUGAUCUGUAAAAACUAAUCUGCUUGACUCAUUUCAAAGAAUCGGCGAUCAAGUCGGUUUUCAAGUCUACCAGCUCAAUCAUUGGUCCGGUGGCUGAGAUUGGUGAACCACACUCGCCGAUCUAUCCUCGAGUCUAUUCCCGACCUUGUUGUGGUCAGGAACCGGUAAAUCAACCACCAAAAUACCUCCGGCGGUCCGAUCCGUUUCUAGAAUCCCUAAAACUAGCCCAAGCGAGACCGGUUUUGUUCCAAUCCAAGCCGGCGGCCACUGGAGCUCUUUGGCACCCCCAGCUAUUGACAAUCACCUAUUGCGGAAACCUCAGACCUUGCUGUGGUCCAACAUUGGCCUCAAAACUAGCUUUAGUUUCCAGAAGAUGCAAAUCAAGGAUCCAUUGUAGCAGAAAAACUUGCAUUAGCAUCUAUCGGAAGGUACAACAAGUUUGAUCAAGCAAGAAGAUUGGGAAUUGUUAGUUAGGUGAGCUUUAGAUGUGAUUUGUCUCAUGUCGGUGCAAAACAUUGCCUUCAACAUCACCAAUGAGAAGACAACAACGGAAUUGAUGAUGACUUUGUCAAACGUGUACAAGAAGCCAUUUGCAUCAAUUAAGGUAUAUUUGAUACAUCAUCUUUUCAAUUUGAAGAUGGACAAAGGUACUUUUAUGACAAUUCACAUCGACAAAUUCAAUGUGAUCAUGUCUCAAUUGAGUACAAUGGAUAUCAAAUAUGCUGAUGAGGUAAAAAUUAUAAUUUUAUAUUCUUUAUGUAAAAGUUAGAGUGCAAUUAUGACUACAGUGAGUAGUUCAUUUGAUAAAAGAAGUGAAGUUUCAAAAAAUCUAAGACUUUAUUCUAAGUGAGUACGUUUGUAAAAGAGAAUUGGGCAAAUCUUUGGGCACUGCCUUAAAUAUUGAAGGCUCAGGGAGAAGCAAUCAACAAGGUUGGAACUAGUACUAUGGUAGAUCAAAGUCCAAAGAGAGAAGCAAAUCAAGACAUUGUAGUGAAAUAAUUUGCUGGAAUUGUGUAGAAAAAGGUCUUAUGAGACAAGAUUGUAGAACCCCAAAUUAGAAAAUUUAGUAUCGGAAUCUAAAUCAUGAUGAGGUCAAAUCUUUGAAUGCAACCCUUGAAAAGAUACUUGACAAUGAUGCCUUAAUUUUGAGCAUAUUUUUGCAUAAAUUUUGAACUCAAAUGUUUUUUUUUUUAUAAUCAAGAUCCGGCUUAGUACAUCUUACGGGUGCUCACGGCCGCUACAGGCCCAAUGGAGACAACCGAUUAUAUUUAGAGGGAGGCUAGCACAUGACCCCACCAUCAUGACCCCCUCACUUAAGACGUGUUAGUAACACGGAGAUUCGAAGUCAUUUCCUCGGCGUUGAGGUAGUAGAGCCCAACUAGCGCAGCUGCCCACCGGUGGGUUUGAACUCAAAUGCUUUGUUUGCUUUUCUUUUCUUUUUCUUUUUUUGGUAAAAGUAAGCAAUAUAUUAGGGAAGGUCAAACUAUACAAGCAACAUAGCUCUAAAAACUUGUACUCAAGAUGAACACGCUCAUUGUGAGUGGAAGGAAGCAGUGGAAAAAGCCAAGCAGCAACAACAAAACGACCAACAGAGAGCCAAUGGCAAACAAAAAAAUUAUGCAAAAAAAAUUGUGCACUCUAUUUCGUUGCAAACAGAGAGACAACGGCAAACAAACAUGGCUCUCAAAUGCUUUGUUGUACUCUAUUUCAUGCAAAAAAAUAAUGCACAAUUUUGUUGUUGGAUAGUUUGGAAAGGUUUAACUUGCAAAUAAUAAAGCUUUAGAUAUUGUGAGGAAGGAGUUCACAAAAAAAUUGCUAGUGGACAUCAGUGAAAGUUGCAAAAUGUUAGAUUUCUUCCGGUCCUUAAGAGAAAUCUAAUCCCUACAAAUCAAGUAGACCACCUAAUACGUAACUUAUUUUGGAGACUACUAUCAAAAAAUGGAAAAAAGUGAGUUAGGAACAUUAUACAUGAUUGAAAGCAAUAGAAAAACAUUUAAUGAGUCGGAAACUAAUUCCUAAUUGUGAAACCACAAACUUGGAUACAUGAGCAAAAAGGGAAUGAAGCUGUUAGAAUAAAAGGGAAAAUAGCUUAAUCUAAAGUCCAUAAAAAUUGGUCUACAUGAGAUUUGCAUUCUAGGGAAGCAAAAAUGUGUUAGUUUUCCACAAAUUGGAAAAGAACAAGGAAAAAAAGAAUUGAGUUGGUACACAUAAAUGUGUAGGGGCGCCCCUAUGCAUUUUCUAAAGGUUUGUGUUACCACAUCGCAUCCACUGAUGACUCCAUUAGAAAAGUAUGAGUUUAUUUUUUGAAUAAUUUUGAUGUAUGUAGUACUUUUAAAUAAUGUAAAGCUGAAGUGGGAGAAUGAGUCUAGUUUAAAGAUUAAAUAUCUAAGGUUGGACGAUGGUGGUGGUUAUAAUAGGAAGGAGUUCAAGUAGUUUUGUGUAAAGAAUUGAAUUAGGAUGAAAAGAAAAGUUCUAAGCACCAUCAAAAUGGAAUUACUGAGAGGAUAAAUCGUACAUUAAAUGACCGUGCAAAAAGAUGCAUACAGGAUUACCUAAGAAAUUUUCAGUGGAUGCAGUUAACAGAGCAAUAUAUCUAAUCAACAAAUGACCUUCAGUUUCCCUUGAUUUUAAGUUACCAUAACAAGAAUGGAUUGGAAAGAAGAUAAAUAUCCUACCCAAAAAGUUUUUUGUUGCAUUGUGUAUAUCCACAUAGAUUCUAAAAAUAGGGAGAAGGUUGAUGCAAAUGCUAAGAAAAAUUUUCUCUUUGGAUUUGAUUUGGAUUAUUUUGGCUAUCAACUUUGGAUGAUCAAAAUAGAAAAAUAAUAAGAACAAAUGAUGCUAAAUUUGAUGAAAGUAUGUUAUACAAGGAUAAGCCUAUUAUAGAAUUUAGUGUGAGGAAACAAAUGGAGGAAACUACAUAGAUUGAAUUGGAAGGGGCUUUUAAGAUUAUUUUGGUUAGAAAUCCUGAAACUAUUGAUGUAGAUUAUAAUAUAAAAAAAAAACGAAAACAAGAAUCACAUACACCUAAAUCCACUUCAAGACUUUAAGUAGAUCAAGUAGAGCAUUUAAAUCUAUAUAGAGGUAUUCUCGAGCAUUACAUUAUUUGCUUAGUGCUGGUGAACCAAAAUCUAUAUAGAGAUAUUCUCGAGCAUUACAUUAUUUGCUUAGUGCUGGUGAAGCAAUGCAAGUCAAACAUUCUAUUAAGUGGAAUUGACAAUUUGAAAUGAGUUAGAUACACCGGAUAAGAAUAGAAUAUAGGUUUUAACUCACUUACAAGAUAGAAAGAACACAUUAUAGAAUAAAUGGAAGUACUAGAUCUAAGAAUAACUCGAUGAUAGCAAGAGGCAAGAAAGAUAGUAGCAGAAGGUUUUUAGCAAAAGAAAUGAACUAACUUCAUGCAAACUUUCUCUCAAGUUGUGAAAUUGAAUAUUAUCGGGCUAGUGUUAAGUAUUGUUGCUCUUGAGAACUUACAUCUAGAGCAGUUAAAUGGAAAGACGACAUUCUUCCAUGAUGACUUGGAGGAGGACAUAUACAUCAUAUAACCAAAAGGAUUUCAAAUUCCCAAUGAAGAAAAUUAUGUUCACAAAUUAAAGAAAAGUCUAGAUGAUUUGAAACAAACUCCUAGAUAUUGGUAUAAAUUUUUUUAAAACAUGUGUAAUAACAAGUUUACUAGAUGUAAAUUAUUUCUUUAUUGUUACUUUAAAAGAAUCGAUGACUACUAUAUUAUUUUGUUAUUGUAUGUGAAUGAUAUGCUCAUUGCAAGAUCCAACGUUAGGCAAAUCAAGAUAUUAAAGCGUUAAUUUUCAAAGGAGUUUGAAAUCAAGGACUUAGGAGCAACAAAUCAAAUUCUUGGUUAAGGAUCACACAAGAAAGAUAUGCAUAAUUUCAAAAGUUGUCUCAAGAAAAGUAUUGAGAACAUCGGGCAAAUUCGGAGUUCUAAAUGCAAAGCCUAGAAUUAAUCAUUUCGAGAGUCUCUUCAAGCUCUUGAAAAAGCAGUCAUCAAAGAUAGUUGAGGAGAAGGAUUAUAUGGCUAAGGUGCCUUAUGGUCAGCUGUUGGCAAGUUAAUAUAUGAUGUAUUCCAAACCAGCUAUAGCUCACACAAUGGUUUAUGGUGAAGUGGCUAUUAAGAUAACUGAGAGGCACUUCAAGAUUAUGGUAAGUUGUUGGCAAAUUGAUAUAUGCUAUGGUGUGUACCAAACUAGCUAUAGCUCACAUAGUAGUGGUAGUCAUGAGCAAAUAUACGGCUAAUUUAGGAAGCAAAAUUGGGAAACGGUAAAGUGGCUAUUAAGAUAAUUGAGACUCAUUUUGGGUUUAUGGUAAUUUAUUGGCAAAUCGAUACAUUUGAUGGUGUAUACCAAACUAGCUAUAGUUCACACAGUGAUAGUCGUGAGCAAAUAUAUGGCUAAUCUAGGAAUAAAGCAUUUGUAAACUACAAAUGGCUAUUAAGAUACCCGAGAGACACUUCAAAUAUGUCACUAUGUCUUAUGGAAAAUAAUAUGACUUUACAAGUCUUUCUCAAUAAAAAUCUUGACUUGGACAAUAGGAAGGACACCUCACAUUAUGCUUUUGACCUAGGGGAUACUGCAGUCAGUUGAAUAUAUAGACUUCAUAAUUGUGUCUCUCUAUGUCACUAAAGCUAAGUGUCCCUCUCAGCCACUGAAGCUAAGUAUGACGUUAUAUACGAAGCUGACAAUGAGAUGAUUUGGUUGAAGAAUUCUUUGAACAAUAUAGACAAGAAGCAAGAUAAUAGUGUUCAAUGACACUUGUCUUGCAAAGAAUCUAGUAUUUUAUUUAAGAACAAAGCAUAUUGAAUAGAAGUAUCAUCAUAUUCGUCAGCCGGAAAAUCUACCACAUAAGUUAACCAAGGUUGUCAUCACUAAAAGGACCGAGGCUGUGCCAUUCCCUUUGUUGGCCUCACAGUUAGUGAUGAGGAGGUCAUAGCACUAGGACAAUUAUGGUUACAAAGUCAAGUGAAGACUAUAGAAAACUAUUGCUAUUUUUAAGAUUAGCAUCCAAGUGGGUGAUUGAUAAAGACCAAUAAUACAAAAGCAGAGAGGCUUUUCACGGCUAAUGAUAUGCACGUAAUUUUCAUGUUAAAGCAGAGAAAAAAUAUCAUGUUAAUGGUAUAUACGUAAUUCCUAUAUAACUUGUAUGCAUAGGGCAAUAAUUUUGUGGUCGUAACCCUAAAACUUGUAAUGUUGAAAAUUGAUAAUAAUACUGAUGAUGAAGAAAUUGUGUAGUGCGAUGUUUUUUCCCUUCCUAAUUUUGGAAGGUUUUCUAUGUAAAAAUUCACGUCUUCUUUAUUUUUUUCACUUCGACCAUUUUUAUUCGUACCAAUUGUCACCAUUGUUGUCUUUGUCAUCGAUAUUCGAAAUCUGAGGGGCAUUAUGGAAUUGAGGCUGACCGCUGCAGCAAAAUUGGCAGUGGCAACCAAGUAGGCAGAGGCCGACCGUCAUCUCUUGCUGUCUGAAUGAUUCAUUUCCAUCCGUAACCUGUUCUCUUUCCUUUGGAGAACCAAGCCGCUCAGAUACUGCGCAUUGGCAGAACCGGUGCUUUGAACCAUCUUAGAGAAGGCGCUUGCUUCAUUUGACAGCAGAUUCUCUGGAGUGUCGUGUUCUGCUACCUGAAGUGAAUGAUUGAAGGCAUCCUAAUUGAUACUUGCAUAAGAAAAUAGAAAUGCAACAAUAUUGAAAUGCAUGAAUAGUUAAUUGGGGUCACGGUCCUUCUAAGUUGACGAGAAGUUUCAAGUGCCCUAAGAAUCAUACAUAUUCAUGAUGACAAACCAUGACUAUGCAUUUCAUGCUAGUACUGAUGUAUGCAUGAUGAACUGUGAUGGUAGAACAUACUUGGCCGGCAUCGAGCACAAGAACUCGGUCAGAGUCGAUGAUGGUGUUAAGUCUGUGGGCGAUGAUGAGCAUGGUGCAGUAGGUAAAUUCUUCCCGGAUGGUUUUCUGGACGAGAGCAUCAGUUCUGAGAUCGACGGCCGCAGUUGCUUCAUCGAGAACAAGAAUCUUUGACCUUCUUAGUAAUGCUCGAGCAAGACACAGCAGUUGCCUCUGUCCGACGCUGAAGUUCUCUCCACCCUCGGAAACCUUGACAAAGCACAACCAACAUCAAUUAAACCAAUGGAUAUUUUUAACUUCACCUGUCUUAACUAGCAAGGAAAAACGACUGAUGCAUUCUGAAGCCAAUAAAAUAAUGCACAGCAUUACAUCGGCCUCUUGCGUAUGGAAAGACCAAAUAUCUAUAAAAAUCAACCUAUCAACUUCAGUUUAACACUACAGAUACUAUAACAUCUAACAUAUCUGGACAAUAUUAUGGAACGGAUCCUUCAGCAUUUCUUGGAGGUAAAUCAAUUCCAACAUCUGUACCACUCUGUCCAGUAUACCACCAAGUCCAGCCCACAUUGACGGCUCUUUUUUUCUGCCUUGCAGUCUUAUCAUUUAGUUCAGGUGGAGGAAAUUAUAUAUCAAAUGGGAAUUCUGGAGGUAACAGUGGCGCAAGCAGAGCAUUUGAGCAAAAAUAUUUGUAAUCAUACCUAUAAGAUUAUUGCUAAUUAUUUCUCACUAAUCUUGUCAACAUCUUUAACUUCAAAAAGUUUUAAAAACCAUGUCAGACUUAUUUCCUUAAUAUUAAUUCAUGUCGCUUGCCUUGUAUUGGUUCCAUUCAAUCUCUCUCCUCUCUGCCAAAGGGCAUUAACCUCGUCAAUGGUUAUUGUCACAAUCUCAAUUGCAUGCUUUAGACAGCCUCUAACAAUUCCUUCAAAGUACAAUUUGCAUAACUUAGAUAUUUUCUCUUUAACAUUGCAGAUAACUACCGAUGAUUUCAUCAACAUAAACCUGAAUUCAAUAGAAAUCGCAAUGAUCCCUUGGAUUAAGAUUAAGAUUUUACAUCUAGUAAAUUUUCGCAAGCUUACCUCAGCAUCCAGGCCAUAAAAGUUCCUCCUGAUAACAUCCUUCAAAUGUGCUCUCUCCAAAGCCUCCCAGAGGUCAGCAUCUUCAUGUUCAUUGAAAGGGUCAAGAUUGAAUCUCACAGCUCCUACACAAAAUUGAAAACAAAGAAACUAUUAGAGACGGUACUUAUUCUCCUAAAGUUUCUUUCUGGUAUAUGGUUGAAGAUUCUCAGUCCACAGUAAUGGAGUUCAGUGUAUGCAGUUAUGAUUCGUACUGUAGCCUUUUUCACAUGAAAUAACAGAACUCAUGAAAAGAAAGUUUUUCAAUUUUUUUAUGCAGAAUGUUCCUUGGAAUCAAACCAAAGUAAAAGGACAGUGGAUUAAGACAUUUUAACAGAUUAGUACUGGUCAGCAGACAGUUCACGUCGAGAGAAAGUGACAGUCCAGGGGUAGUUGGGCAAAGAAUUGGAUUGCAAGAAUAGUAAGUGGCUCUUGUGAAUGAUACUUGGUCCGAGGAGUACAGAGUUCUGGACCUCCAGUAUCAGACAUAAUAAGUGCAAGAGAAAACUCUCAGCUAUGACAUAUCAAUAUCAACCAGUGGGCAGACUGAAAAGCAUGAACUUGUAAGCAGAAUCUCCUACAGAAUAUCAGAGAAAGUUGAAGGAAAAGGGGGAAGGAAGAAAAAGAGAUUUUAAAAAACAAGAUACAGAGUAUUUCAUGGUGCCUACCUGAGAAAAGAACUGGUGAUUGUGGUAUGAUGCUAAGGACUUUCCGCAAAUCUUCCAGUCCUAUUUUAGAGGUGUUGCACUGAUCGAUCACAAUUCUUCCUUUUUCCAGCUCGACAAUUCGGAACAAAGCAUUUAUCAUGCUAGAUUUUCCAGCACCGGUUCUUCCGACUAUUCCCAGUUUCUCACAGGGUGCUGUUGAAAAGGACAAUCCAUGCAAGACGGGAGGAAGUUCAGGUCUGUAACGAAGGACCACAUCUUCAAAUUUAAUUAAUCCUGAUGAAGGCCAGCCAGGAGGGGGGCGGCUGCUCUCUAAUAUAAGUGGAGCUUCAGAAGGCAAUUCUAUGUACACACCCACACGCUCUACAGCAUUUAGACUAUUCUCAGCAUGGCUUGCUUGUCUCAGUACAUCGCUCAGAAGGUUUGUUAUAUUCAAAGUGUAGCUGAGCAGGAGACCCAUCGUUGAAGCAAAGGCUGCUCUGUUUUCUGCAUUUCUAGUCUGCAUGACUGCAAAAGUGGUGGUCAACCAGAUCAUUAUGCAUCCUAGUGUGUCCAACCUUAUGUCAAGCCAAUUGUUGGAACUAACUUUGACAAGGGUGAAUCUGAUGCUAUUGUCCAUGGCCUCGGCAUUACUGGUGGCCAACCUAUCAUGUGCUUUAUAUGCACGAAUCGUCGACAAGCCGUUCAAUGCUUCUCCGAAUUGUGCAUAAACUGGAGAUCUGGCGAUUGAAUCCAAGCGUUUCACUUCACGAGAUACACUCUGUUAACAGCAACAAGGCAAACAAUUAGAAAGACAAUUAUAUCCAGACUUCCAAAGGGCUCGGCUAUGGGUAGAGGGCGAAACAUGUGUUAGAAAAAGAGGUAUAGUUCUAUUGAGCAAUUAAAAGGAUCUACUGUUAGCCUUGAUCAUUAAUGCCCCCUCUACUACAAAAAAAAUUGACAAAAAAGAUGGAUAAAUGGAACUUUCAUCAUUGAACUGUUGGUGCUUAGUACUUAUUCACUGUUUCAUACGAAGGAAAAAAAUAGUGUCGCUUUCUACUAUGAAAGGAUUAUCGAAAUUGCAUUUCCGAAUUUCCACUAUAAAACAAUUAAAUGGCGCUGCAUAGUGUCACAGGCAUGACAAAAAAUGUAAAUUUGACAUGAAAUUGUCAGUUAAUGUAGCAGAAGAACAUUGCCGACCCCACCAAAUGGGACAAGUUUUGACAAUUGUUGCUGUUAGUAGAAAAGAAUAUAUCAGUUUGACCUUUUCCCAAUAUAUCUCUUACUUUCACCCAAAAAAAAAAAAAUAUCACUUUGCAUGAAAGAACAUUAUGGCCCAAACAAAACUGCACUGACCUGGAAAUAUAGAUAGGCUGCAUAAAACAAGAUCAAGAGCAGUAAUAUGGCCCAGAGAGAGAUUGUGCUUACAAUUCCUAUAAGCACAAAAGUCGAAAGUAGCUGGCAGAGUCGGCCCAUAAACAAAUUUACACAUCGGGGAACAUUGCGAUCUAUGUCGCCUAGAUCCUUGGCAAACCUGUUGAUUAUUCUUCCCACUGGGUUGGUGUGAAAGAAAAGCAUCGGAGCCCUCAAUAUAGACCGAAGCAUAGAAUCAUGCAAUGUUUUUGCCGCAUAAAGACUUGAAAUAACCAACCAAUAAGCGUUAGUCAGCAUCACAGUCACCUGAUUCACAGAAAGACAGGAGUUGUCACAGACAUUGCUAGAAAGACGUACCCUUCAGUUGACAUAUGCCCACAUCCACCAAAGACUACAAUACAGAAAACUACAAAUAUAGCAAAGCUAACAAAUAGUCUGCCUCAUGUUAUGAUAAAUCAGUUUCUCUCUGAAAAUACAAUACUUUCUGCACUAUAUAAAAGAAGUUGUAAGCCAAACUCAAGCACCAAGAGGUAAUGUGAUAAUGUGGCUUUCCCACUUCAUCAAGAAUCAAAACGAAAUUAUAGAAGCACAAGCUACUGCAGAAAAGAUAGCAACAUUGGAGAAACUGAAUCGGAGAUCUAUCUAUGGAAUUGACAUACCUGACCAAAGGACAGGAGUGCAUAGAUCAAUAUGUAGAAUCCUGGUCUGUAGUUCUCCGAAGUGCUUUGAUGUGUCCAGAAACUCAACCACGUGCUACUUGAAAUUCGAAGAACUUCAGUUAAAGUAUAGCAAAUAAAGAGUACUGCCACUACCCACAGGCCUCCUAGUGCCCCUUUGUACCUAAAAAUAGAUUAAGUGAAAAAGGAAAUCAGAUCAUACACAUGUCACAGACAAGUAGCAUUAUUGCUAUGUAAUUCUAUGUUUCAGAUUUAGCAGACCUAACAGAAAUAGAGGGAAAAUAGCAUUUUACAAAAAAUAAAAAAAAUAAAACAUUGUUUGGGUUUUCAAUAAAAAGGAACUGUCAAAUUCAUGGACUUUAGGUGUUUAAAAGCAUUUAGUGAUACGCGUGAAACAUAGUUAUUACGUGGAGGAAACCUAAGCAUCGCAGAAAAAGCUACAUAAGAGACCUUUCGAGUGAUGUCACGUGAAGCUGAGAAAGAAAUGUUGUGCAAACUUACACUCAAUAUUACCUCCAUACCAUCUUAGGUGUUACAUGGACUUUCUUGAACUUUCUGUUCAAAUAUAUCACAUGUAUGUUUUAUGUCAUUUAAUUGGCUUAUUUGAACCCUUUUUCCAUCCUAGAGUUCAAUAAAGUCUUUAGGUCAUGAAUUUGAUAUCCCCAAAUAAGCCUUUUUCAUAAAUCAUCUGUCUACACAACCAAGUACUAGAAUGCAUUUAGUACCUCAUCAGGACUUUCCAACUCACAAUGCCUGUUUCCCGUUCCUCUUGCUUAAUAAGUACCAACUUCCCCCCUUUACCUUUCUUCCCACGGUCUUGAUUUUCAGGCAAUUCAUUAACAAUGGUGUCAGCUGCUGGUUUGGAUGUUUUCUCCUCUACAUUUUUCUCCUCCUCUUCCUCCUCAUCAUCUUCCAUUUGUUCCUCCAUUUUUCCUGCAUUCUCCUUAAGUGUCUGGAACAGUACCUUGCUUCUAGACAGCUCCUCAAAAGUCCCCUCCUCUUUGACCAUUCCUUCAUGAACCAAAAUGAUUCGAUCCACUUGAGGAAGAAAAUGUAGCUGAUUCGUGACAAGAAUCCGGGUCUUCCCUCGCAGCUCUUCCAUGAUACAGCUAUUGAACACCUGUAGUUGACUGUGGAUUAGUAUAAGCUAAUACAGUGCCCUCAUUUCUGAAAAUUCAGAAAAGAGAUCCUACUGAGUGGAAGAUCUAUAAAUAUGAAGCUAAAGCUCACUUCGGACAGGGGGCAGUCAAGCCAAAGGCUUGGAUACCCCAUGUUACUAAAAAGAAAAAAAAAAAAAAGAAGCUAGUCAAACAAAGACAAUAAUAGAAAUACACAAAUAUAAGUUAAGAAGUCCCAAAUCGGAAAAUGCUUCAGAGUAUUGAAAGCAGCAGAUGUUGCUUUGAUUAUCCAAAUAUUGAUUGCAGCAAGUUAUCUUAAGGGGGGGACUGUAGCAUCAAAAUUGUUAUUCUUGAUUAACCAAAGCAUUUGAGCAUGCCUUGCACAAAAAGCUUUCCAAGUAUACAGGUAACUGUUUAAGCCGUAUAACAUCAAUUGCGACACCUGUGGUAAUCUUAAGUGACAAAUUCUGUCUUAUGAAUUUCAUACCUGUCGACCAACAUGAGCAUCUAGAGCACUUAAAGGAUCAUCAAAUAUGUAAACGUCUGAAUUUGAGUAAACAGCCCUGGCCAUGGAAACCCUCUGCUUUUGGCCUCCACUUAUAUUCACCCCUCUUUCCCCAAUCUCUGUAAGAUCAUGACCCUGAGGAAUAAAUGAAAUAGAUAAUUAACAGAUCACAUCCCAUGUUAAAAGAGAUACUUGCAAAGCACUGGAUUCCACCUAACUGGAAGCAAAUCAAGGUCACGCUCCAAUUGAGUAACGCUGACUGCCUUCCAAUAUCUUUCUGCUUCAAAUUUAGACCCAAAUAAUAUGUUGUCUCGCACCUGAUAUCACACAUAGGACACAAGAUAAAUUGAUGAUAAGGCGCCCAACAUCGACAGAUAAAUAAAACCAGCAGUGUGCAACUUACAGUGUCAUUGAAAAUCCAUGACACUUGAGGAACAUAAGCAACGGUUCCCCGUAUAGUAACGCAUGCAUCAGAGACAGGAGAUAGUUCCCCAAGCAUUGCUGAUAUGAGAGAUGUCUUUCCUUGUCCAGUACCACCAACAAUAGCCACUAAGCUACCCACUGGUAUUUCCAGAUUGAUGUUCGACAGGGUUGGUUUUUCUGCCUGAAGUUAGCUGAAAAUUUAGCCUCCACUUGAAAUAAGAUGUUGCAACAAAAAGACUGGAAACCACCAUAAACGACCAUUUAGUUAUGCUGAAUCAUCAAAUAUCAGUCAGAAGACACAGCUACGUUAACUUGAACCUUCAAAAUGCUGGCAGAAGAGAUGCAUCCACCCAGAGAAAUUAUGUCAUCUGAGUUUUGAGUUCGGUUAUUUUCCUCAGAAUUCACCAAGAGUAAUUUACAAAUAGAAAUUAGGGCAAGCUUCCUUUGAAGAUGUCACCUUUAUAGAAGUUGUGAGAGCGCAGCUCACUUAACUAAAUGUUUUAAGUCGUUCGAUGAAGGUGUGGUUUAAAUUUUGAUUAUGGCAUCAACCAACUUCGGGGUUCAUAAUUUUAUUUUUCUUUUUUAUGUGCCCCUAUCCUUCUAACACAUCAGUGACAAUUACUGUUUAUAAAUGCAUUUUGAUGGUGUUACAACCCUUAAAACCUAGACAAUUCAGACAUACUAAAGUCAACAGUUUCUACCCAGUGAGAAAAGUUAGGUAAGUGAUUUUGCCAGACAAAAUGACUCGUAUGUUUAUUUGACCUUUGAGUCCCAUGAAAAGUGCCCAUCCUUGAUUGAAAUAGCUGGCUCUCCUGGCUCAAUCGCUGGAUUUGGAAUUAAUACUCUCUCUUCCGUUAAAAGUAGUUCCUCCAAACGUUGCAGGGAAACAUUCGCAGUAACAACCUGGACACAAAAGUAAGAUUGGAAACUAAAAGAUGACAAACAAAUGUUUGCAACCACUGUUAUAAUAAAAUUGCUGGAUCUAAGAUGGACAAUAUGCCUCAUCCUUGAGAAAGUAAAGGUAAAAAACCGAAAUAAGCCCAAAACAGAAAAUCUGACUUGCACUUUCUAAAUAUUGUCAAAGCCAUUUAAUGAAGAGAUAAUCUGUUACAGAUUUAGUUAUCACAGCAUGGUUUAGGCUUCAGUUUAAUUAUCACAUUGAUGUAACAGGUCCUGCUGAUUAAAUUUCUAUUGUUUAUUCUAGUUCAACAACAAGACAAUUAGUUCAGGUUAAACGAAAAUGUAGUAUAUGAGAAAUGCUCGUAAAACUUUUCUUACUCCGUAUUGUCCAAGUCAAAGAAUCAACCCCAUCAGUAUGGUGAUUUACUACAGCUCACCAUUCAUAUUCUAUGUUAUUUUUCUUGCAGUUUGAUAUCGUCGAUCAUUUUCUUCUUUGCUAAGUUAAUACUUAGACUGAACGAGGGUAUCACGCCAACACAUCCGAGGUACACAAUUAGGAGCAAAAACAAAAUGAUAGAUCCUCUAUCCACAUAAUAACCACACAUUAUGAUGUCGACAAAGGAAGAUCAGUACACUAUUCUAUUUGAGUGACAGAGAUAGAGAAAUGAGGGUAGGAUGAAGUGAAAGAACCUGAGACAUCAAGCUAGGGAGCAUGUCCAAAGGAAACCGUAGCACCGCGAAAAGAGAGAGUGAUGUAAACGCCCUCGCUGGUGUCAAAUUCCCACCAAGCAAAGUGAACGUCCCAAAUGAGACAACGGUUACAAUGACAGGGAUGCUGUUCAGUACAAAGCCGUUGAACUGCCACCAAAAUUUAUCUCUCAGACAAACAGAAAACCAUCAAGCAUUAUGGAAGAAGAAAAUGUAAUGUUCAUUAGUUCUCACACGCCUGACAGAAAGGGUCUAAAUUCAUUCAUCUACUUCUACAUAAGAAACAAAUGGAGACUAUUUCAUUGCACUGUAUAAGUCAGCUGAUUGAAAAACAGCAACUAUAAGUCUAUGACUACUCAGCUUACACGCAACGGUGAAUGGAGUUCAAGACUAGAUAAAUAAUUUUACACAGUAAACCAAUCACCUUUUUGACUUUACACUAACCUAUUCUCAUGACGUAUGAAAAGAAUCAGAGAAUUUGAAUUGCUUGCACACGAUCACCUUUGAAAGUAUUUCAACUGCUGUUAGACUGCUUGGUAAGUUUACCACAGGCAGAAAGCCAAGACAGUUUGUUCCAUAGAUAGAGUGUUUUCACAUUUCAUUUUUAGCACAANNNNNNNNNNNNNNNNNNNNNNNNNNNNNNNNNNNNNNNNNNNNNNNNNNNNNNNNNNNNNNNNNNNNNNNNNNNNNNNNNNNNNNNNNNNNNNNNNNNNUCCGCGGAUCAAUAAAGGCACAACUUUAUCUUAAUUUUGAAGUAAUCCAUACUGCAGAUACUAGUUGUGCCCUACGGAACCAUGAAAGCUCAUCACUUCGUACUUCUUGAACCUUACAUUGAAAGCUCUUUUCCCAAGCAUAACAUCUGCAAGAAUUUUUCUGAUGAAUUUCAGUAAUUAUAAAACAAACAGCCAUAGAAAAUGUACGCCAGAGCAUCUUGCUAAUUCAACAUACUUCACAGUGUCCAUUGCUGCCAAAAUUUCGUUCAUAACGCUGACUCUCUUGUCAGUUGACUGCAGCCCUUUCUUUGUCAGUUUUUGCAUUUUGCUGAUUAUGAUCGUCUAAUUAACCAUGAAAAAGAUUAUGUAAGACAAUUGAUUGACAGAUAGAGAAUCAAUCAUCAUGAUAUAAACUAUACAAUCUAUGAGUUGAGAGUGACGACGUGGUAUGGAAAACCUCAUAGCUAACCACAUGUUGCGUAAUAUAGAGAUUGUGAACCUGGUAAUUUGUUAAUGAGCAAUAAGCAGAGUAGACAGAGAUCACUAAAUUUAACUCAUGGAACUCUUUACUUGUUAGACCAUUUUUCUUUGGUCACAAUGGCAAUAAGAAAUAAUUGCCUUCAAAUCUUAAGCAACCAUAUUAGGCUUUCUAGAGCAUGCUUUGUAGUACAAAGCCCCACACCAACAUGAUAUUGCCAUAUUAGCAAUAUUACUGAUACGACCAUUGCUACAUAGAACUUUCAAAGGAUAAACAACAUCUACUUAGUACUUAGAUCAGAAUGCCCCUUCUAAAAAUUAAAGUUAAAAGAGAACUUGGACCUCCAAGUCAGCACGAUAUAUGAUUUAACUAAAAUUGGUAAAUAAUUAAAAUAAACAUGGACAAAUUGAUAUUUCUGAUGUUAUAGUGAGGAUAACUUUUGAGGGAAAGAGAGAGCACGAGAUUACUUGCAAGGGGAAUAUGAGGACAAGCAUGAGAGAGCCAAGCAGCGAAGCAAUGCCUAAUUGCUGGUACAGAAGAACCAUGGCAAUGACAAUAGAACAUGGAGCCGACCAUAAGUUGUGAAGUUGUUUGCAUGUUUGCUGAACAAUAUCAGCUGUCACGUCAGAUGUAAUUCAUAGAAUUUGCUUUUGCAGAGUGAGAAGAGCAGGGCAUUUGUACUGAGGAAGAUGUCACAAUUGACUUAACUAAAUCAUGUUGCAGCAAUAAGAGAACUAUGGUAGCAAUGUCAGAAAACAUGUAUGAAGUGAGAAAUCUCACCUCAAGUGCGUUAGCGUCUGUGGUCAUCAUGUUUGUUAUCUUUCCAGAUUGGAACUUCUUGCGACCCUCGUGAGUAAGUCUUAACGAUUUGCGGAAAAUGGCCGCCACCUACCAAUUUGGUUGAAUAAGCUAUGUUAAUUGCUCUGCUAUGACAAAUGAUGGAGAACGACCAAGAUUGAGCAUCUGAUACUGAGGAUUUGUACACAUCUGGCAGAGGUUUUACCAAAGUUGACCUCAGCCUAAAUCCCACCCGAGAUGAAUUUUGAUAGAACUGAGUUUGGCAAAGCACACCAAACGACUGAACAGAUUUCAAUCAGAAGUCAAUAACAUAUCCAAAAACAGUAAAUUUCACAUAUCUUAUUGAAGAAAGGAUGUAAACAUGGAAUAGGAACCACAAGCCAGAGGCACCGACAAUUAUAAGAAUGCAGACAAUACUAGCAUAUGCAAUAAACUUGAUUUAUCAUUUACAAAAGUGAUAAUGAUAUUUACUUCACACAUUGCACUAUAAAAAUUUAAUAGUGUGCAAACUUAGCAGGAAAGGACUCUGUCUCCUAACAUAAAUCACAAACUCGACACAAAACAAAGAAAGGAUCAUACCACACUGACAAGAAUCAGAAAGGCACAGAUGUAACCAAUCCAUGCAGGGUCCCCUCUUUGCAUUGACUGCAUGUUGCAAAGAAUGACGCAUUAGAAGGGGAAAAAAGAAAAUCCGUUCCUGGAAAGCUAACCUGCAUCUAACAUAAUCCACCAUGAUGUUGAUUGAAAUACAAAAGUAAAAGUUCAGUCUAUGAGCAGAAUAUUCUUUGCCAUGGAAAGGCGGGGCAAUUGAGACUUCUAUAAUUAAGACUUCUAGACAAUGUUAGAACAGAACAGAUGAUAUUCUUAUUGAACCAAUCAUAGUUCCUAUAGUCACUAAGCCAUUGCUGUUCAUUUGUUGCCUUGUGUAUAUUGGAGCAUCUUCCCUGUCACAACAAUACAAGCACGCUUGAAUAAUUACUAGAAAAUGACAUUUUGCCCUAAGAUAAGCAUGUUAACUCUGUUUCUGCCAGGGUCUGCCCUCCCUGUGAACCCUUCUAGUUUUCCAUCCAAAAAUGGUUUAUCAAACAAUAUUCUAAUCAUUUUAAGAGGAAGGUUCCAUGCAAACAAUUUUCCAUAAUGAAGCACGUGUUUCUAGAAAGAAGAUAAAAAUUCACAAUUCUUGGAUUUCAUCAAAAUCUUAAAAGCAGAGUCCAGCAUUGAUUUUAAAAUCGAUGCCUACAAAUUCAUCUAAGAGAUAGUGAGAGAGUUGGAACAACUUACUUGAAGGAGGUAGUUCAGCAAUGUGGGCCCCGCGAACCUAGAAAGAUCGCUCCCUAUCUGUAGUUUUUCCAUGUUAGAAAGAAUUAUUAAGCUUCCAAUGAGUAUUGCAAAUCAAAGUGAACAGUAUGCUCUUGAAGGAUCAUUAUUAUAGUGAUCGCUCAAGCUUAUUCACAAGACGAAGCCUAAGAGACUAUCCUUUAGAUACUGCUUUUCUUCUUUCAGACUCAUGAGUUUCUAAGGUUCUGCUCAACCAAAGUUAUUAUGUAACGGGCAUGCAUAGUAUAUGGACAUCAUUAUCCUACUAGGAAAGGAGUUACGACAUGCGAUUGAGCAUCCAUUCCCUACAGCUGAGGAAUCUGAACAUUUUGGAAUGAAUCUGGUGAUCAAUUAGACCACGAAGGGUAAUUAUGACACCUUAAAGAAGCCUCCCAACCAAAACCUGAAGCAAAGCAAACAAGUAAAUGAGAUGGGGAACAUUCAAACAAUCAGGAUGCUUAUGAAUAACGCUGCAGAUGUCAGUGCGCUGUCAAAUCGAAAUUGAAAUGAGCAAUGGGACAUUAGGUGCAAUUCAACUGAUACAUACCUUCCCCCAAGGCUGCUGUUCAAAGCUCUUAAAAGCCAGGGUUUGGGCCUGUGAGACUCUUUGGCCCAGCAUUUCUGGAAUCUGGAAAAUAAGAGCAAUUGAAAUGCUUUAGGAAUGUAUCUAAAUACACAAUAAAAUUUGGAGUACUACUACAGUAAAGUGACUGACACUAACCUUUUAAUCAGUGUCUCAGUCUGAUCCCAAGUGUCUAACUUCCAAACAUCCUUUUCGGAAAUUGGUCUUUUGUAGCCUUGCUGCAUAAGUGGAGUCACCCACCCAAAGUAUGUCCCUUUGAGACAGACAGAGAGAGAGAGAGAGAGAGAGGUAGUAUCAAACAACGCAGCAAUAACUAGCUAACAAUAGAAUGCUAAUCAAAUGCGAACAUUCCAUUUCACUAGACCCUCGAAAUGUCUCAUCUCACUUUUAUUUUCAGGCUUGCUUCAGGGAGGAAGAGAUUUGCACAAACAGGGAACCAACAAAUGCCACCAUCAGAAGCCAAGUGAAAAAACAAGCAAAUUGGACUCAUUAAGCAGACAGAAUCUAAAAAUGUCGAUUUAUAAGCUUAUUAUUAGUCUUUAUUGGAGAAUGACAAGCAGUUCUUGACAUGUCAAUUCAUAAAGACUAGCUGAACUGGUCUGGUCAGAUGAAAAACAAGCUGAAUUGGAAAAUAUGUUGACAUGCCUUUCAGGACAAACUUGCUCCUCUCCUGGAAGGGCCUCAUAUUCAACACUAUGAACAGGCUCGGUGGGGAUUGUAGUAUACCCUGGAUAAGGGUCCAGACUUGGUUCAUAGACAAAAAGAAGAAUCCCAAAUAUAACCUACAUAAAUAAAUAAAUGAAUAAAUAAAACCACAAAAGAGAAGAAGAUUUAGUCAGGAUUCUUCAGAUUGGAGUGACCAAUGACAUAAAGAAAUCUCACUAAUUGACAACCAUAAUUGAUGAAUCCCAGUAGGAGCUGUUUCUUCAAAAGGCUAGGUAAGCUAAAGACAGACAGGUCAGGAGUAACGGUUUAUUGAAAGAGACGUAACCUGGCAAAAGACCGUGCUGAUGUACAGAUACAGUGCAGACCUGCGGAAGUAAAAGAAGAUGGAUAUUGGAUCCUCCCUGGAACACACUCAAUAUGGAUCUUAAACUCUUCAACAAUGUGAUGCAUUGAAUCAGAAUAACCUGCUUCGAAAUUAUUUUUAAGUUCCCAAGGGAGAUUUAGGCAACUACACCUACAAGUGGCUAUUUAACAUGUCAUAUUGCAAAUAUUUCCUCUCUGAUGAUUUGCCAAUGACAUAAUUUUCAGUAAAGCAGUGUCGCCACGGAGGAGGAAAAAUGCACACUCUAAAGUAUUUUAACAAUAGAAAAGUUACUUCUGUCAAUUAUUUUCCAUCAAUCUCCAUAAUGAGAGAGAGAGAGAGAGAGAGAGCAUCUAAUAACAUCACUAUAUUUCUUUGCUUGCAUUCAAGUGUAUGAAAUGGGAGAAUAUGAGAUGUUCUCCACUUGCACUCAAGUGUAUGAAAUAGGAGAAUAUUAGAUGUACAUGUUCUGAAGUAUGAACAGUUAUGAAAUGUCUGCUGAACAAUAAAAAACUAACCUAUGAUGCUGAUAGUGGUCUCUCAUUGAGAGGAUGAGCUUGAACAUCACAACUUGCCCCACCAGAACAUAAAUGAGUCCAAACCGCACGUACCACUUAAACUCCCGGAUGUAAGCGUGCAUUUCUAGGCCAAUCAUAACUAGCAUGGAGCACCAAGCAAGAGACUCUAUGGUUAACGAAACCAUCUGCCAAACAAAAAAGUAGGUGUUAUUAAAAAGCAAAUUAGACUCUCAGUUUGCCAGCCAAUGUAAAAUAGCAUUACAGACUGGUGUUCUGAAGAUUUACAGAAUGACAGAGAUUGAAAACUAUCAUGACAUCAGUAGAAACAGACUCAUGGAAGUGAAAUGUUAACUAUAAACCGUGGCUGAUUUGGUUACUCAGAGGGCUAGACUUGGAACCCACGGAAGUUGAAAAACUCACGUGCAAAGAAAGGAUGUUUUCCAUUAGUUUCAUUGCCUUUAUCAAAAAACGAAGUUUAACAUUAGACAGAAUGUAGUGGCAAUGAGGAAUACUGUCGUACCACAAGGAUCCACUGGCGCCAAGCUUCAUCCAAGAGAAAGCAGUUGAAAAAGAAUAAGCAAAAGGAGAGUCAAUGCGCUAGUGAACAAUUUCAGUCUCAUGCUUUCUCACAUGUUAAGGUUAAGCAACUAGCUACCAAAUGCAAGUUUUUUGGACAACAUAUGGGACUCUGUUGAUGUGCAAAAGAACCAGCUAAUCAAGAUUGUUCGUCAACCAGAGAAAUAUUAGGUGAGCGUCGGAGAGUCGAAUAGGUCCUCGAUACCAUAAAAUUCCUACCUCAUAUGGAGGGAGGAUAGUCUGACCAUCCAGAUUGAAAACCGAGGAGCCCAUUACCAACCUCAGCAGGGGCUCUGCAGCGCAGUAAAAAGAAAGCAAUCCCAACAUAUAGUUGUAGCAUUUUGACCUCAGACGGUAUCUCUGGACUUUCAAAGUCCUCUUGAUCAACCAAAUUCGGUAAUAGCAGAGACCAAGAAGAAGCAAAUGGGAUAUGGAAAUGACCAAGGAAUCAACGGCGCAAGGUGUGUAUGCACCGAAAGCACUGUCCAUAGUCCCUGCCCAAUUCCCACUUGCCACCGGCCUGCAAUACCAAUCCAGCAACUCGAAACCCAUCUUCUAAGCAAGGUAUCCGCUCCUAGUUCAUCAAGGGUCCAUCACAACUUCUUGAAACUUUUUUCACUCAGAAGUCUCAUUAAGCAGAAAUUUCCCCUGAAUCAAUGCACAUGUUCAGAAACAUCCACCAUGAAUACUGCAGGAAAUUUGUAAUUGAAAGAAGUAUAGCAAGAAAACCCACUAUGGCAAAAUCACAAGAGGUCACUUGGUUUAUUUAUAAUUAAAAAUUGAAAUGCGAGCAAAGUUACAGUCAUUGUUAUUUGUUCCAAACUGAAAAACCAGUUAAGGGUGCGGAUGAAAAUGUUUUUGUUUUCGAAAACAAUUUCUUUUUACAAAAAAACUUUUUUUUAUUUCUAUUUUCAAGAACAGUUUUUGAGUAUUUUAAAAUUUUGAUAACUAUAAAAAAAUUAUAUUCCGGAAACAAAAAUACAUUUGGCAUGACUUAAAAUUUUUUAAUAAUGUUAUUAUAUUUUUCCUUUUUCUUUUAAUUUUUUUCUUUUCUUCUCCUUUUUCUUAGCGGGUCGCCAGCUUUGGCCAUGGCCGACCGGGGAGCGGCCAGACGAGGGCCGGCGAGGUCGCCAGCCUCGGGGGAGCCUCGGCCACGAGCCUCGCUGUGGUUGGGCGAGCCCCCCAAGCCUCGCCGUGGCCGGGCGAGGCUCGACCUCGCCCGGCCACCCAGGCGUCGCCUGGCCUCGUGGUGGCCACGGCGAGGCUCGGGGGGGCCUCACCCAGCCACGGUGAGGCUCCCUCGAGCCUCGCCGGUGGCCGGCGAGCUCGAAGCAAACUUCACCGGUGGCCGGCGAGAUCGGGCCGACCUCGCCGGGCCUUGUCUGGUCGGUCGACGGCCAUCGCGGGCUGUUGACCAGCUAGGGAAGAAGACAGGAAGAGAAAAGAAAGGAAGGAAAAAAGCACGUUUCUUGAGUAAUUUUGGAGAAAAGAAAANNNNNNNNNNNNNNNNNNNNNNNNNNNNNNNNNNNNNNNNNNNNNNNNNNNNNNNNNNNNNNNNNNNNNNNNNNNNNNNNNNNNNNNNNNNNNNNNNNNNNNNNNNNNNNNNNNNNNNNNNNNNNNNNNNNNNNNNNNNNNNNNNNNNNNNNNNNNNNNNNNNNNNNNNNNNNNNNNNNNNNNNNNNNNNNNNNNNNNNNNNNNNNNNNNNNNNNNNNNNNNNNNNNNNNNNNNNNNNNNNNNNNNNNNNNNNNNNNNNNNNNNNNNNNNNNNNNNNNNNNNNNNNNNNNNNNNNNNNNNNNNNNNNNNNNNNNNNNNNNNNNNNNNNNNNNNNNNNNNNNNNNNNNNNNNNNNNNNNNNNNNNNNNNNNNNNNNNNNNNNNNNNNNNNNNNNNNNNNNNNNNNNNNNNNNNNNNNNNNNNNNNNNNNNNNNNNNNNNNNNNNNNNNNNNNNNNNNNNNNNNNNNNNNNNNNNNNNNNNNNNNNNNNNNNNNNNNNNNNNNNNNNNNNNNNNNNNNNNNNNNNNNNNNNNNNNNNNNNNNNNNNNNNNNNNNNNNNNNNNNNNNNNNNNNNNNNNNNNNNNNNNNNNNNNNNNNNNNNNNNNNNNNNNNNNNNNNNNNNNNNNNNNNNNNNNNNNNNNNNNNNNNNNNNNNNNNNNNNNNNNNNNNNNNNNNNNNNNNNNNNNNNNNNNNNNNNNNNNNNNNNNNNNNNNNNNNNNNNNNNNNNNNNNNNNNNNNNNNNNNNNNNNNNNNNNNNNNNNNNNNNNNNNNNNNNNNNNNNNNNNNNNNNNNNNNNNNNNNNNNNNNNNNNNNNNNNNNNNNNNNNNNNNNNNNNNNNNNNNNNNNNNNNNNNNNNNNNNNNNNNNNNNNNNNNNNNNNNNNNNNNNNNNNNNNNNNNNNNNNNNNNNNNNNNNNNNNNNNNNNNNNNNNNNNNNNNNNNNNNNNNNNNNNNNNNNNNNNNNNNNNNNNNNNNNNNNNNNNNNNNNNNNNNNNNNNNNNNNNNNNNNNNNNNNNNNNNNNNNNNNNNNNNNNNNNNNNNNNNNNNNNNNNNNNNNNNNNNNNNNNNNNNNNNNNNNNNNNNNNNNNNNNNNNNNNNNNNNNNNNNNNNNNNNNNNNNNNNNNNNNNNNNNNNNNNNNNNNNNNNNNNNNNNNNNNNNNNNNNNNNNNNNNNNNNNNNNNNNNNNNNNNNNNNNNNNNNNNNNNNNNNNNNNNNNNNNNNNNNNNNNNNNNNNNNNNNNNNNNNNNNNNNNNNNNNNNNNNNNNNNNNNNNNNNNNNNNNNNNNNNNNNNNNNNNNNNNNNNNNNNNNNNNNNNNNNNNNNNNNNNNNNNNNNNNNNNNNNNNNNNNNNNNNNNNNNNNNNNNNNNNNNNNNNNNNNNNNNNNNNNNNNNNNNNNNNNNNNNNNNNNNNNNNNNNNNNNNNNNNNNNNNNNNNNNNNNNNNNNNNNNNNNNNNNNNNNNNNNNNNNNNNNNNNNNNNNNNNNNNNNNNNNNNNNNNNNNNNNNNNNNNNNNNCUUUCGUACCUGAAGCGUUUCCGGUCCUCUUUCCAGGCAGAAAGUCUACUCAUAGACCUGAGUAUCCCAUCCUCUUCAACAAGAAGUGCUGCAAUACCCCAUCAGGUAUUGUUUGUCCGGAAGUGCUUUUGUAGUCCUACUCUCUAAAGGUGUGAUUUUAGGAAUUUCACCCCCAAUGGCCGAGCAAUGCCCCCUCCUCCCCCCAGGAAGGGGUGAGCUCGGCCUCGCCUCCCGGUCGCCGGCCAAGGCCUUGGCCGGCGACCGGCCAAAAGAAGAAAAAAAAAAUGAAAAAGAAAAAAAGGAAAAACAAGAAAAAAAUAGAAAAAAUAAAAGAAAUAAAAAAAUUAUCCAAAUUUACCAAACAUGUUUCUGUUUAUUUUUUAUUUCCGGAACAAGUUUACUAAACGCGUUGUUUUGUUCAAAAAUUGUUCCCCGGAACAGAAACAUUUUUUUCUAUUUCUAUUCCCUGGAACAAUUUUUAAACAGAAACACAACCAAACGCGCCCUUAGGCCCCGUUUGUUUGUGUUUCUUUUUUGUGUUUUUAAACACUUUUUCUGUUUUUUUGUUCCUGGGAACAAAAAAGAAACAGAAACAAGAAACACAAAUUUUGUGUUUCUUGUUUCUGAAACACUUUUGAGAAACACUUAUUUUGUUUUUUCUUUUUUCUCUUAUUUUCUUGUUCUUUUUUCUUUUGGCCGGUCGCCGGCCUCGGCCAUGGCCGGCGACCGGCCGACGAGGGCCGGCGGCCUCGCCCAACCACGGCGAGGCUCGCUGUAGCUGGGCGAGGAUCGGCCUCGCCAUGGCUGGGCGAGCUCGAGCUCGCCCAAAUCCGGCGAGGCCGACCUCGCCCAACGGCUGGCGAGCCUCGGCCUCGCCGAGCCACCACCAGGCGUGGCGGUGGCCCGGCGAGGCUGCGCCUCGCCCGCCGCUGGGCAAGCUCGGCCAAAAGAAGAAAAAAAAAUGAAAAAGAAAAAAAGAAAAAAAGGAAAAAUAAGAAAAAAAAUAGAAAAAAUAAAAGAAAUAAAAAAAUUAUCCAAAUUUACCAAACAUGUUUCUGUUUAUUUUUUAUUCCCGGAACAAGUUUACCAAACGCGUUGUUUUGUUCAAAAAUUGUUCCCCGGAACAGAAACACUUUUUUCUAUUUCUGUUCCCUGGAACAAUUUUUAAACAGAAACGCAAACAAACGCACCCUUAGGCACCGAAAUUUCCUCGACUUGACUUCAGCUUUGAUCAAGUCCACCAAAACAGUGCUUUGAGCAUGACCCAAGAGAAAUUAGAACUCCCACUCAUUACACAGUGGCAAGCAAUCGCCCUAGACAAAAUUAGAAACAAGAAAGAACACAAGACUUCACAAACCCACAGGAAGGAAGAGAGAGAGAGAGAACCUGCAACGCUCUAGAGCUGCUGCUUCUCAUUGAAAUGGCUUGUGAGUUUAAAAUGUAGGGAGUCCUUAUAGUGGGACAGCAAGAGUCAGGGAGUAAAAUAUAGAACGUUGAGGCAGAUGAAUCGUCACCAAGAAGAAGAAAAAGGGAAGGAGAAAACAAAGGAAAAAUGAAUGCGAGAAUGGUCAAAAGGGCCAUUUGAAGUUUGUGACAGCUUCUAGGAAAUGAGGAGAAGAGGACCGAGAUGGUCAAGAACAUUUGGCGCCAUGCAUGCGUCGCUGCUUACCUAGGCUGCUCUCUCACCUGAGCUGUAACGAGAGGAAGGGCUUUGCACGAUUGAUUAGUUUAUAGUUUUCUUCUUCCUCGUGUUUUUUGGCUUCUUCCGUUGACUUCCGUACAAUCAUACUAAUUAACAAAGACUGAUGAUUGAGAACGCAUUAUCAUCAUUCGGACAAUUUUGUGUCUUGAUUCGCUGUCCUAUUCUCUAGAGAAAGACAAUUAAUUUGCCUGCAUUCUAAGACUUUUUUCUAUGAAAUGCUUGAUCUUAGGAUUAUUGAGAAGUAACCUCUUCAUGAUUAACUUAUUGUGUGGUAUCUUGUGUUAUCAUAAGAGGUUUGAUGAUUCUAAAUUCAUUAAUUGAUUGCAAUUUUUUAAUCUAGAUGUUGUGGGCGGUUCUCCUAACAUAAGGGUUAUUUUUCCUAUCUUUUGUUGGACUAGAGAUUUACUAAUUGCUUGAUAUACUCGAAUAGGCUCUACCAAAGUCCAACUCUAAGGCUGUGAUCAACUUCUCAUCUAUGGUAUUGCCGCAACCUUUCCAAGGUGGAAGUUUGACAGAUUGCCAAGCAAGCAUGCACGAUCCCUCUCGUGAGAUGGUACUUAUACUUACCGUGGACUCUUCCAAACCUACCGAUUGCAACAUGGUUUCUACUUUAAUUAUAUGAGUCGCUACUAAUUGAUUAUGAGCCAAUUCUAAGUAAAAUUAGACAUAGGAGCUCGUUUUAUUUCAAAAAAUCAAAGAUUCGUGGGUUGGGACCUAAUUUUGCUAGAUAUAUCUAUCACCUAAUUCGAUACAAUAUCUUUUUAUAAAAAAGUUUUACAUGUGAGCUUUCUCUUUAUUUUCUAAUCCUUUUUUUUCUAAUAAUGAAGCAAAUAAUAGUUGCUCAAACAAUAAGCAAAUAAUAACAAAGCCAUUAGAGGACAUGAAAAUUUUACUUAAGCUAUACCAGGCAACUUAUUGCUAUACCUCGGGAUAGGAUCCCGUGAGCAGUUAGUGAAUGAGAUUGUUUGAAUCUUUCAGCUUCCAAGAACAAAAAUAGAGAUUGACAUAGAAAUUUUAUUGACAAAAAUAAAGUUUAAUCGACCAUUAAAUCCGCAAUGGUGAUUAUUGGAAAAAGGACAAAACAAAUGCCAAACAUUCAAAAAAGGAUGUGAAGGUACCAUGAUUUCAGAAUCAUGAUCCAAAAAAACUUCACUAUGUAAGAAAACUUUUACCUAUAAUCACUUUUUCCAAAAGAUCAGACAAUUUUGCAUGUGAACUUUUCCAACUAUUUCUUUUUCCCAAAAGCUUAAUAACUCUUCCGAUUACCUUUCUUCUAUUAUGAAAUAUAAGGUUGUGUUUGUCUCAUGGAAAAUAAAUUACUUGGAAUAUAAUUUUCUAAAAUAUUUUACAUCUUGAUAGUUUAAUGGAUGAUGAAAAUACUUUUCAUUUACUAAUUUUUAUAAAUGAUAGAAGCGACUGUCUUUAGCAAAAUGUUAACAAUUUAUAUUUCGUGAAACAAACGGACUGUUGCUUGUUUGUUCCAUACAACAAAUCGUAUUCUACACCACUCUCCUCCGAAUCAAGCUAUCAAUUCAAGCAAACGUAUCCUUACACACAAAACAACCAUGAGCAGGGGUUUCAAAGAAGAUUGAGAGGGACAUGAUUUGUAACCACGAGCAAAGUCAGGAUCUUCAAGCACGAAUUUGUAAAGCGACGGCGUAGCCCCCAGGUAAUUUUCAGAGCAUCAGGAAACGGAGUUUGAAUCAUCUCGGCUAACUGAUUAGCAUGCACGGAAAAGUUUUCCUUUCCAAACGUAAAGACAAAUUUGUCGUGGCUAGGGAAAUGAAGAUUCGAGUAAAACAGAGCCACCCGCAUGAGGAUAGACUCCCACUCUGCAUAGUGCCGAGAAUGCAGAGAAAGUCGAGAUAAUCGAUAUUGGUGUGGAAUGAUCUGACGUGAUGGGAGAGAGGUGAAAGUAUUUUUAUCAAUUAGGAGAGAACAAGGGAGACCAGUCGAAUGACAUGACUUGGGAGAAACCAAUCGUAGGCUCGAAUAUAAGAUAGACUCGGUCGUCUUCCUCGUCUUUCUUACCUUCAGUUCGAACUUCCUUUUGUUUAGUAGGUUGCUCCUCUUGUAUGGCUGUUUGCUUUAGUUGCUUGACGUUCGCAUCGCAUUACCAGCCCCAACAUGCAGAUCCUUGUGCACAGUUGCCGCGGUCUCACUAGCUGGUAGAUUUGUCGCACAACGAAAAGAUAUGAGUGUCGAACGGUUAUUUCAACAAAAUGGAAUAGUGUCACCUCAUAUGUAGUCACGUCCCUGGUGGAACUUAAUAAAGCAAUCUCUACAAUAUCUAGCGAUUUAUAGCGGAUGAAUUCGGCUAUCAGCUAACAACGCCAGAGCAAGAAGCAUCAUCAUUGAUACGGCAGAUACUCGAGCCCUUUUGGAAUCAUCAUGUAUAUUGGGCCUCGCUCAGCAUUCUAUUACGCUAAAGUAGCAAACUUUAAUAUGCAUGAUAUUGCCGGUGCGUCUUUGACGGAAAAUGAGUAAUUUGAAAUAUAUAUUUUUUAAAUAAAUAAAUGGAAAAAGUUUUAAUCGCCUACAACUUUAGUUAGGUAUAGAUAGGGGAAAAGUAUUAAAAAAAAAUCUUAAACUUAUGGAAUUGAUAUUAAUUCAAUUAUAAAUAUUUCAAUUGGAUCAAUUUUGUCCUAAAAACUUUUCACAUUGAUACAAACUUAGUCCUUCCGACAGUCGGCAUUGACGUGGACACUGGCCGGUUGAUGAACGUUGACAUGGAGGCUCGCUGGCCACUACAAGAGAAGAAGGCCAAGAGGAAGAAGAGGAAAAGGAAAACAAAGAAAAAAUUAAUAAAAAAUUUGAAAAAAAUAAAAGUUUAUUUAAAAAUUGCUAUGUUAGCAUUCGCCAACCGAUUGGUGUUCGCAUCAGCACCGAUGGCCAAAAUUAUCUAGAAGAACUAAAUCGGUAUUAAUGUAAAAAUAUUUAGGAUUAAUUAGUUCAAUUGAAAAAUUUAAGACUGAAUUGGCACAAAUGCCAUAAAUUUAGGACUUUUUUGGCACUUUUUCCACAUAGAUUAUUAUCUAUGAUAAAAGUAUUUUCCGUUGACUAAUUUUUAUAAAUAUUAUAAACAAUAAUUUUUCGAAAAAUGUUCUACAAAUCACUCAUUUUUUGCUUCCGUAAUGUCCCAUCGCACCAUGCUCCCAACACCUUAGACGGAUACAAAGUGUCUUGAAAUACAUACAUACAUACAUAUACAUAUAUAUAUAUAUAUAUAUAUAUAUAUAUAUAUUGCAAUAAUAAGAACUGCAACGCCUGGCAUUCUACGUGUAUCUACAAUGAAAGGAACGAAGUCGUCGGCGGUGGUCCUGAACCGAAACUUACCAGAUGGGUCAUGAGGGCUGCGAUCAAUAUUGUCCUCGGGAGGCUUUUGCGCAUGGAGAAUGCAAAAUUUCAGCGGCUGCGAGAGAGUCGACUUACCCUUCUGCAAGUCGCCGCCCACGGUCACGUAGGGUCGAUCGGCAACCAGCCACUGCGGCGAUUGACGACCGCUGGCCAACAUGAGAGCAGAAUCAUAAGAGGCACUUUUGUAGGUUUUAGCUAUAGCAGCGAGUGAGAGAAAAGAUAGCCUCCUUAAAAUACGAAAUUCCUAGACAAAAAAAAAAAAAAAAUCACAGAAGUAACAAUAUUUAUAAAAAAGAAUCUUAAUCUAAAUAAAAGUAAUCUUGAAAAUAUUAUUAGAAUUAAAAUUUCAGAUCAAGAUUCUAACAACAAGAGCUAAUCUUGAAAUCUUGGUAUCAAGCUCUCUUCUCUUUGAUAAUGAUGAUAGCUUAUGACUAGCCUGUGGUUGCCGCUGAUUAUCUCUUUCUAUAUCACAAUAUGAAAGGGCCGCCACUGUGAUCAAUCACAACCAUUUUAACAAGCAAUUACUACCAUCACUAAUAUCAAUCACGGCCGAUGAUCUCCCACUAGCUAAAUGUGGUUUUUUUUUUUUUUUUUUGGUUGAAACGAAGGCAAAAAACCAUGAAAGAAAGCAACGGGGACCCACCGACGAUUCUAAAACGGUUGCACGCCGGUUCUACCUCGUCGGCUCUACACUGGCGGCCCACCAGAUGCGCCUAACCCUCUGCAGUUUCCCUCACUCUCCUCCUUUGUUCCCUAGUGUCAACCGUCAUCUCCGGCGGCUGAUUGAUCUGUUAAAACCGAUUUGAUUCGACCCAUUUCAAAGAACCGAUGAUCAAGUCGGUUUUCAAGUCUACCGGCUCAAUCGUCGGUCUGGUGGCUAACAUCAACGAACCAGACUCGCCAAUCUAUCCUUGAGUCUGUUCCCGACCUUGUUGUGGUAAAAAACCGGUAGAUCAACCACCGGAAUACCUCCGGUGGUCCGAUCCCUUUGGGAAUCCCCAAAACCGACCCAGGCAUGUCCAUUUCUGUUCCAGUCCAAGCCAGCGGCCACUGGAGCUCUUUCGCACCCUCAACUGUCGACAAUCGCCUAUUCUGUAGGGGUGAUUAGUUCCCGGUUCGGUCUGGUUCCAAGGUGGAACCGGGAACCAGACCGGGAGAAUCGGUUCCCGAUUUUGGGAACCAUGGACCGGACCGUUGGUCUUAGGACCGAGAACCGGACCGGACCAUCGGUUCCGGUCCAGUCCGGUCUGGUCCAAAAGAAUUGGCACUUUAUUUUUUCACUAAAGAAUGACCAUUCACUAAAGAAUAAUCAUGCUCCGGACCGAUCAAUCAAAUUCGGUUUCCGAGCAAUCUAAUAAAACUACUCACACAUGUUUUUGAGAGUGCUAGUAUGAACAAAAUAAAGGAGUUAGGGAAGAGAAUAAGAACACAAGAUUUAUAGUGGUUCGGCUUAAUCCAAGCCUACGUCCACUCUCCCACGCUAACAGCCUUUUUGGCUGGAUUCCACUAUGCAAUCAACAAAAGAUUACAACUUCGAGUGCAAACACUUAGUAGUAGAUCACACUAUCUCACUCAGUCACUCUCUUGGUAUUUCUCUCAUGAUCACAAACGUUUAAGCUCUCAAGAGACAAGUAUAUGAUCGAAAGUCGCUCAGACUUUGGAAUUAUAAAUUCUACGCUCCGUCUCUUACUUGCUCAUCGGUCCUUCAUCUCCUUAAAUACUCCUCCACUUCCAAACUAGCCGUUGGACAGUAUCCCGGAGAAUCGUCUUCCAAUAUACCCAUUGGACAGCUCUGUAUCUAGAAGAUUUGGUAGCCGUUGAGUGACAAAGGUAGAAUCCCAAAUUGAUUCCGAUCGCCCAUACAAACGGAAUCUUGGUUUCCAUAAGUAAAGCUUCUUCGUAUAGAAAGAUCUUGUCUUCAAGAUCCAAUUGUCAAUCAAAUAGAUUGAGUCAAUCAAAUCAAUCUUGAUGUGGAAUUCAAACCAGAUCACUAGCCGUUAUAUGAUUGGGCUUGAGUUACGUUCUGUCGAAUCUGGAUGUAAAGUCUGAGAGCAAUAGACUUUACAAUCUGAGUCUGUAGACUUUACAAUCUGGGUCUGAACAUAUCUGCUUCUAAACAGAUUUAGCUUUAAGGUCUGAACACCGGUUCAGCUUCAGCAUAAAGUCUGUCUUCUGGUUCAUCGUUCAGUCUGGAAUUAGUCAGAGUGAGCAGACUUCUGAUGUAGAACAGACUUUGAUACUAAAGUCUGGCAGUCUUCAGACUUUGAGUCUUGAGUCUGGCAGUCUUCAGACUUUGACACAGAAGUCUGGAAAUUUUCAGAAUAUACUUUGGACAUAUGUUACGUUCAGUCUUCUGGCCGUCUUCUGACUUUGAUAAUAUCAUCUACAUGUUCUAACAUCUGCAUGGUCUAUUACUCAACCAUCAAACAUGUUAGUAGCAUUUGAUUUAUUUUGUCAUCUUCAAAACAUCAUAAGGGAUUUCCCUAACAAUCUCCCCAUUUUUGAUGAUGACAAAACAAUCUCUAAAUAUGCAGAUUUGUAAACACGCUUUUAAAGAUAUUAAUUUAAAUCAAAGGAUAUCAAAAGAUAGCAAAUAGAUUGAGCAUAACAAUAUAUAGAAAAAUAAUCACUGCUCAAUAUUAUGCCAUAGAUAAUAUCAACCAAUCAACACAUAUGCAUAUUCAUAUCUUCUCCCCCUUUUUGUCAUAAUCAAAAAGUGAUAAUAAUGGAAAAAGUAUCACGUAGAGAAUGAUAACAAAUAUUUUGCAUGAAUCACAAUUUCCAAAAAUCAGCUUUUAUAAAGUAAAUCGAAUAUUAAAGAUAUGCAAUAUAGCUCACUUCGAUCAUAUAUAUCAGCAAAUAUCCAAUAAAAAUCACGGAUGCAUCAUGAAAUGCACGUACCUUUUUUGUCAUAAUAAAAUCAAUAAAAGAUUUGUUAAUGACAAAAGGUAAUAAAAUAUGCACUAACCGGAUUUUUUAGAACAAAUUCUGACACAUUUACCUUUCCUUCCAUCCAUAAUAAGAUCACGAUCAAUCCAAAAAGAUUUUUCCAUAAUUGAUCAAGGCUCCCCCUCAAUUUGCUGCCUUUUUGAGAUGAUCACGAUUCUUUCCUUUUUCUUGGAUUUGUUUUCUCCCCCUGUGAUCAUGACAAUAUUUGCGAAUAGAAAUAAUUGUUGCUUGUGCACGUUGAACGGAAUAUUUUUCCAGUAUUUCCUUUGUAGCAACAACAUCUGCAACGAUCACUUGCAUUUUGAAAUUCGAGGCAUAAAAUUAUUUUCUUCAAUCAAGCUCAUCUCGAAUUCAACCUGCAUCAACUUAACAAACUUUUUGCACAAAUAAGCUGUAAUAAUAUCCACGUAAUUACCCUUUUCUUCAAAUAGAUAAAUUGAAUAGCAUAUAUAAAAUUAUCAAAUAUUAAAAUUCAGAACUAUUCAACCUUACAUACAACACAUAAGGGAUUUCCUCAAUAAGCAAAAAUUUUGCACAAGGAAUGGAAUCUUUGAACCUCCAGAAGAUAGUAUAAAAUCUUCACAAAUUUCUGAUCAAGCUUUCCAAAAUUCAUAUGGAAGAUUCUAUUGUGACCUGCAAAUUCUUAUAUAACAGAUAAUAAUCUUUGCAAGAAUGUCACGUAAUAUCUUCCUUUGAUUUGUGGAUCAAACUUGCUAGAUAUAAUAUAUCUUCUAAGAAUAUAGCAAGAAUAUCCAUGAAUAUGCAGUAAUAUCUUUCGAGAUCAAAGAGAUUUUCUUGAGCAUAAAUUUCAGAUAUGCAUUUUGCAAAAGGAAAUUAGAUAUUUCUGUCACGUGCCAAAAUUGCAAUACAUUAUAUUUAUGACAGAAGAUAUUCGCAAUAUAAUAAACAAUCAUCCAAAAUCAUGAUAAAUGCACGUAGAGAUUUGCAAGGUAGGAAAAAAAAUUCUCUUACCCAUGGUAUAUGUUAGAAAUAUACCAUUGAUUUAAAAAAUAUCACUACCAAUUGUCGCAGGAGAUAUUUUCUUAUUGCACCAAAAUUUGCGUAGAUUCGCAAUCAUCCUUCCCUUAAAGAAUUUCCUGCAAUCAACUCAUUUCCCUUUUUGGUAUCCAUCAAUUUGGAUCCUUCCUUGACGUUAGAGUAAAAUAUGAAAUCUCCAUAAUCAAAUAUUCUUUCUUAAUUCAUCAUAACAAAGUAUUCAAAGAAAGAAUAUUAUGCACAAUAAUAUCUUGCAUCAUAAAUUAAUAUCACGUAAAACAGAUUUUCACUUUGCAAAAUAUGAAUAAAUCUGAGAGUAUAAAAUUAAACCAAAUAAAUUAUUUUGUCUUUAAGCAUGAUAUCAAAAAUGAUCACACGUAUCAAAUUAAAUUUCGAAUCACAAAAACAAAUCAUGCGAUUCUUUCUUCAAUAAAACAAAAUAUGAUCAUUAUAAAAUCUGAAUCAAUCAAUGAUAUAUCGAAUUUCAAGUAUAAUGAGAAUUAUGUGCCCAAAAACAUUCCUUACCAACUUCUUCUUUUCUUUUAUUUCCUCGAUUUCCUCAUCGGAUUCUGAGUAUGUGUCUAAGUCAGACUCUGAUUCUGAGUCUAUGUCUGAGUCAGACUCAGAUUCUGAAUGUGCCAUCAAGCAUAAAUUUCCUUGCUCAUCAUCUUCUUUCAUUGCUCUUUUCUGGCCAUUCUGCUUGUAUUGUCUUAUUUCACUAAACUUCCUUCCUUUUCUACUCAGCUUUUUGAAUUUCUCGAUCAUAAAAGCAAGUUCUUCAUCGUCCAUGUCAUUUUCUGAGUCUGUUUCAUCAAAAACAGCAUUAGAUAUUAAAGCGAUGGACUUCUUACCUUCGGGAUCUUCAUCGUUAAGUUGCUCCACUUCAUAGGGUUGAAGAGUGCCGAUCAAUUCAUCAACGGUGAGUGGCAUAAUCCUUUGAGUCUCCCGGAUUGAGGUCUUGACAUGGUUCCAAUCUUUUGAGAGAUCUCGCAAGAGUUUGUUGACCUUCAUUGGGGAAGAAAUUGGAUGACCUUGAUAUGCCAAACCGUUUACAAUUUCUGUAAAAUGAUUAAACAUAUCUCCAAUCAACUCUCCUUGCUUCAUCUUAAAGGAUUCAUAUUUGCCGAGUAAGAAGUCUACUUUUGUCUCUUUUACACGAUCGGUCCCUUCAUAUGUAACAUGAAGUCUAUCCCAAACUUCUUUUGCUGUUUCACAUGAAGAGAUUAUGUUAUAUUCAGCAAGAGACAAAGCGCAAUAUAAAGAAUAAAUAGCUUUUGCAUCAAGCGCUUCUCUUUUGGACAACUCCGUCCGAGACAUAAGAGCGAGGGGUUUGGUUUCUUUGUCUUUGUCAUUCUUAUUUGAUGUAGACGCAGCAAUGGGGUUGAUUCCUCUUUCCACAACAUCCCAUUGUAAGAGAUCUCUGGAUCUUAGAAAUGCUUUCAUUUUGUUCUUCCAUACGUCGUAUUCCUUUCCAUCAAAAUAUGGUGGCCUUGUGUUGCUUUGCCCUUCCAUAAGUCCUGGUGCCAACAUACUAGCCAUAAAAAAUCUUUAGCUCAAAAGUAAAAACACUUUUAUAAACCGAGCACUUGGCUCUGAUACCAAUUGAGAGUGCUAGUAUGAACAAAAUAAAUGAGUUAGGGAAGAGAAUAAGAACACAAGAUUUAUAGUGGUUCGGCUUAAUCCAAGCCUACGUCCACUCUCCCACGCUAACAGCCUUCUUGGCUGAAUUCCACUAUGCAAUCAACAAGAGAUUACAACUUCGAGUGCAAACACUUAGUAGUAGAUCACACUAUCUCACUAAGUCACUCUCUUGGUAUUUCUCUCACGAUCACAAACGUUUAAGCUCUCAAGAGACAAGUAUAUGAUCAAAAGUCGCUCAGACUUUGGAAUUAUAAAUUCUACACUUCGUCUCUUACUUGCUCAUCGGUCUUUCAUCUCCUUAAAUACUCCUCCACUUCCAAACUAGCCGUUGGACAGUAUCCCGGAGAAUCGUCUUCCAAUAUACCCAUUGGACAGCUCUGUAUCUAGAAGAUUUGGUAGCCGUUGAGUGACAAAGGUAGAAUCCCAAAUUGAUUCCGAUCGCCCAUACAAACGGAAUCUUGGUUUCCAUAAGUAAAGCUUCUUCGUAUAGAAAGAUCUUGUCUUCAAGAUCCAAUUGUCAAUCAAAUAGAUUGAGUCAAUCAAAUCAAUCUUGAUGUGGAAUCCAAACCAGAUCACUAGCCGUUAUAUGAUUGGGCUUGAGUUACGUUCUGUCGAAUCUGGAUGUAAAGUCUGAGAGCAAUAGACUUUACAAUCUGAGUCUGUAGACUAUACAAUCUGGGUCUGAACAUAUCUGCUUCUGAACAGAUUUAGCUUUAAGAUCUGAACACCGAUUCAGCUUCAGCAUAAAGUCUGUCUUCUGGUUCAUCGUUCAGUCUGGAAUUAGUCAGAGUGAGCAGACUUCUGAUGUAGAACAGACUUUGACACUAAAGUCUGACAGUCUUCAGACUUUGAGUCUUGAGUCUGGCAGUCUUCAGACUUUGACACAGAAGUCUAGAAAUCUUCAGAAUAUACUUUGGACAUAUAUUACGUUCAGUCUUCUGGCCGUCUUCUAACUUUGAUAAUAUCCUCUACAUGUUCUAACAUUUGCAUGGUCUAUUACUCAACCAUCAAACAUGUUAGUAGCCUUUGAUUUAUUUUGUCAUCUUCAAAACAUCAUAAGGGAUUUCCCUAACAGUUUCCACGUGCAAAAUAUUCAAACUUCACUUAUGUGAAUAUCAAUCAUAGUUUAUGUGUUUCAUGCUUAAUUUUAAGCAUAAAACCCAUGAACAACGUGAUUAAAGGUUGUGUUUGGCUUAGGUUUUAUAGACAAUCUCUCUUCUAUAUAGUCGAUAUGAGACUUUUUAAGGCUUGAAGCGCCUUGUCGUUUGCAAGUGAGGGGAGCAAGAGAGAGAGUGUGAGCAUGAGGAGAGUUUUUUUCUAUAAAUAAAGAGUAACAACAAGAGUUUUGGUGGUCUCUUGGCCACAUAAGAGGUUGUUACCUAAAUUGUAAUUCUGAUUGCAAUAAGUUUCAUAUAUAAUAUUAAUAUAUUAUAUGUGUUUAUAUAUUAUAUGAAUAUAAAUUAUAAAUAAAUAAAAAUUGAUCCAGUCCGGUCGGUCCGAUCGGUCCGGUUCCCACCUUGGAACCGGGAACCGGACCAACCGGCCGCCGGUUCCAAGAUUAGGAACCGGGAACUGGACCACUGACCGUGGGAACCGCCCAAAACCGGCCGGUCCAGUCCGGUUCCGGUUCCGGUGGUUUCCAUUGCACACCCCUACUAUUCUGAAAGCCUCAGACCUAGCUGUGGUCCAAGAUUGACCUCAGAACUAGCUUUAGUUUCUAGAAGAUGCAGAUCAAGGAUCCGUUGUAGCAGAAAAACUUGCAUUAGCAUCUAUAGGAAGGCAAAACAAGUUUGAUCAGGCAAGAAGAUUGGGAAUUGUUAGUUAGGUGAGCUCUGGACGCGAUUCGUCUCAUGUUGGUGCAGAACAUUGCCUUCAACAUCACUAAUGAGAAGACAACAACGGAAUUGAUAAUGGCUUUGUCAAACAUGUACAAGAAGCCAUUUGCAUCAAUUAAGGUAUAUUUGAUACAUCGUCUUUUCAAUUUGAAGACAGACAAAGGUACUUCUAAGACAAUUCACAUCGACGAAUUCAAUGUGAUCAUGUCUCAAUUGAGUACAAUGGAUAUCAAAUUUGCUAACGAGGUAAAAAUUUUAGUUUUAUAUUCUCUACUUAAAAGUUAGAGUGCAAUUGUGACUACAGUGAGCAGUUCAUUUGAUAAAAGAAGUGAAGUUUCAAAAAAUCCAAGAUUUGAUUCUUAGUGAGUACUUUCAUAAAAGAGAGUUGGAUAAAUCUUUGGGCACUGCCUUGACUAUUGAAGGCUAAGGGAGAAGCAAUCAACAAGGUUGGAACUAGUACUGUGGUAGAUUGAAGUCCAAAGAGAGAAGCAAAUCAAGACUUUGUAGUGAAAUAAUUUGCUGGAAUUGUGUAGAGAAAGGCCAUGUGAGACAAGAUUGUAGAACCCUAAAUUAGAAAAUUUAGAUCGGAAUCUAAAUCAUGAUGAGGUCAAAUCUUUGAAUGCAACCCUUGAAAAGAUACUUGACAAUGAUGCCUUAAUUUUGAGCAUAUUUUUGCUUGAAUUUUGAACUCGAUGCCUUUUUAUGCACAAUUUUGUUGUUGGAUAGUUUGGAAAGGUUUAACUUACAAAUAAUAAAGCUUUAGAUAUUGUGGGGAAGGAUGAUGUUCACAAAAAAAUUGCCAGUGGAUAUCAAUGAAAGUUGCAAAAUGUUAGAUUUCUUCCUGUCCUUAAGAGAAUCCAAUCCCUACAAAUCAAGUAGACCACCUAAUGCGUAACUUAUUUUGGAGACUACUAUCAAAAAAAUGGAAAAAUGUGCCAUGGUAGCAUGGGGAACAAAGUUAGGAACAUUGUACAUGAUUGAAAGCAGUAGAACAACAUUUAAUGAGUUGGAAACUGAUUCCAAAUUGUGACUCCACAAGCUUGGAUACAUGAGCAAAAAGGGAAUGAAGCUGUUAGAAUGAAAGGGAAAACUCCUUAAUUUGAAGUCCAUAAAAAUUGGUCUAUAUGAGAUUUGCAUUCUAGGGAAGCAAAAAUGUGUCAGUUUUCCACAGAUUGGAAAAGAACAAGGAAAAAAAUAAUUGAGUUGGUACACAUAAAUGUGUAGGGGCGCCCCUAUGCAUUUCCUAAAGGUUUGUGUUACUGCAUCGCAUUCACCGAUGACUCCAUUAGAAAAGUAUGAGUUUAUUUUUUGAAUAAUUUUGAUGUAUGUAGUACUUUUAAAUAAUGUAAAGUAAAAGUGGGAGAAUGAGUCUAGCUUAAAGAUAAAAUAUCUAAGGUUAAACGAUGGUGAUUGUUAUAAUAGGUAGGAGUUCAAGCAGUUUUGUCUAGAGAAUUGAAUUAGGAUGAAAAGAAAAGUUCUCAGCUCCAUCAAAACGAAAUUGUUAAGAGGAUAAAUCGUACUUUAAAUGACCAUGCAAGGGCGGAUACAGUUAACAGAGCAACAUAUCUAAUCAACAAAUGACCUUCAAUUUCCCUUGAUUUUAAGUUACCAUAACAAGAAUGGAUUGGAAAGAAGGUAAAUAUCCUGCACUUAAAGUUUUUUUUUGUUGUAUUUUGUACAUCCACAUAGAUUCUAAAACUAGGGACAAGCUUGAUGCAAAUGCUAAGAAAAGUUUUCUCUUUGGAUUUGAUUCUGAUUAUUUUGGCUAUCGACUUUGGAUGAUCAAAAUAGAAAAAUAAUAAGAACAAAUGAUGCUACAUUUGAUGAAAGUAUGUUAUACAAGGAUAAGUCUAUUACAGAAUUUAGUGAGGAAACAAAUGGAGGAGACUAUAUAUUGAAUUGGAAGGGGCUUUUAAGAUUGUUUUGGUUAGGAAUCCCAAAACUACUGAUGUAGAUUAUAAUAGAUAAAUAAAAAACAAUAAUCACAUACACCUGAAUCCACUUUAAGACUUUAAGAAGGUCAAGUAGAGCAUUUAAAUCUAUAUAGAGGUAUUCUCUAGCAUUACACUAUUUGCUUAGUGUUGGUGAACCAAAAUAUUUUGCAAAAGCAAUGCCAGUUAUACAUUCUAUUAAGUGGAAUUGGCAAUUCGAAAUGAGUUGGAUACACUAGAUAAGAAUAGAAUUUAGGUGUUAACUCACUUACCAGAUAGGAAGAAGACAUUGUAUAAUAAAUGGAAGUACUGGGUCUAAGAAGAACCUGAUGAUAGCAAGAGGCAAACUUUCUCUCAAGUUGUGAAAUUGACUAUUAUCAAGCUAGUGUUAAGUAUUGUUGCUCCUAAAAACUUACAUCUAGAGCAGUAAAAUGCAAAGAUGACAUUUUUCCAGGAUGACUUGGAGGAGGACAUAAACAUGAUAUAACCAAAAGGUUUUCAAGUUCCCAAUGAAGAAAAUUAUGUCUGCAAAUUAAAGAAAAAUCUACAUGAUUUGAAACAGACUCCUAUAUAUUGGUAUAUAUAUAUAUAUAUAUAUAUAUAUAUAUAUAUAUAUAUAUAUAUUUAAAACAUGUGGGCAAUAAUAAGUUUACUAGAUGUAAAUUGGAUCACUACUGUUACUUUAAAAGAAUCAAUGACUACUAUAUUAUUUUGCUAUUGUAUGUGAAUGAUAUGCUCAUUGCAAGAUCCAACGUAAGGCAAAUCAAGAUAUUAAAGCGUUAAUUUUCAAAGGAGUUUGAAAUCAAGGACUUAGGAGCAACAAAUCAAAUUCUUGGUUAAGGAUCACGCAAGAAAGAUAUGCAGAAUUUCUAAAGUUGUCUCAAGAAAAGAAUUGAGAAUGUCAAGCUAAUUCGGAGUUCUGAAUGCAAAGCCUAGAAGUAAUUUUUUAGAGAGUCUCUUCAAGCUCUUGAAAAAGUAGUCAUCAAAGACAGUUGAGGACAAGGAUUAUAUGGCUUAGGUGCCUUAUGGUCAGUUGUUGGCAAGUUGAUAUAUGCUGUAUACCAAACUAGCUAUAGCUCACAUAGUGGUUUAUGGCAAGGUGGCUAUUAAAAUAACUGAAAGGCACUUCAGGUUUAUGGUAAGUUGUUGGCAAAUUGAUAUCUGCUAUGGUGUUUACCAAACUAGCUAUAGCUCACAUACUGGUAAUCAUGGGCAAAUAUAUAGCUAAUUUAGGAAUAAAAAUUGGGAAAUUGUAAAGUGGCUAUUAAGAUAAUUGAGAGCCAUUUUGGGUUUAUGGUAAGUUGUUGGCAAAUCGAUACAUGCGAUGGUGUAUACCAAACUAGCUAUAGUUCACACAGUGGUAGUCGUGAGCAAAUAUAUGGCUAAUCUAAGAAAAAAGCAUUGGUAAACUACAAAUGGCUAUUAAGAUGCCUAAGAGACACUUCUGAUAUGUCUCUAUGUCUUAUGAAAAACGGUAUGACUUUACAAGUCUUUGUCAAUGCAAAUCUUGACUUGGACAAUAGGAAGGACACCUCACAUUAUGCUUUUGACUAAAGUGAUUCUGCAAUCAGUUGAAUAUCUAGACUUCAUAAUUGUGUCUCUCUAUGUCACUAAAGCUAAAUGUCCCUUUUAGCCACAAAAGCUAAGUACGUCAUUAUAUACUGAGCUGACAAUGAGAUGAUUUGGUUGAAGAAUUCUUUGAACGAUAUAGGAAAGAAGCAGGAUAAUAGUGUUCAAUGACACUUGUCUUGCAAAGAAUCUAGUAUUUUAUUUAAGGACAAAGCAUAUUGAGUAGAAGUAUCUUCAUAUUCGUCAGCUGGAAAAUCUACAACAUAAGUUAACCAAGGUUGUCAUCACUAAAAGGACCGAGGCUGUGCAUUGCCUUUGUUGGCUCACGGUUAGUGAUGAGGAGGUCAUAGCACUAGGACAAUUAUGGUUACAAAGUCAAGUGAAGACUAUAGAAAACUAUUGCUAUUUUUAAGAUUAGCAUCCAAGUGGGUGAUUGAUAAAGCACAAUGAUAUGAAAGUAGAGAGCUAAUGAUAUGCAUGUAACUUUCAUGUUAAAGCAGAGAAAAAAAUAUUAUGUUGAUGGUAUAUACGUAAAAUAUAACUUGUAUGCAUAGGGCAAUAAUUCUGUAGUCGUAACACCGAAACUUGUAACGUUGAAAAUUGAUAAUAAAUACUAAUGAUGAAGAAACUGCGUAGUGCAAUGUUUUUUCCCUUCCUAAUUUUAGAAGGCUUUCUAUGUAAACAUUCAUGUCUUCUUUAUUUUUUUUCACUUCGACCAUUUUUAUUCCUAACAAUUGUCACCGUUGUUGUCAUCGUCAUCGAUAUUCGAAAUCUGAGGGCCAUUGUGGAAUUGAGGCUGACCGCUGCAGCAAAAUUGGCAGUGGCAGCCAAGUAGGCAGAGGCCGACCGUCAUCUCUUGCUGUCUGAAUGAUUCAUUUCCAUCCGUAACCUGUUCCCUUUCCUUUGGAGGACCAAGCCGCUCAGAUACUGCGCAUUGGCAGAACCGGUGCUUUGAACCAUCUUAGAGAAGGCGCUUGCUUCAUUUGACAGCAGAUUCUCUGGAGUGUCGUGUUCUGCUACCUGAAGUGAAUGUUGAAGGCAUCCUAAUCGAUACUUGCAUAAGAAAAUAGAAACGCAACAAUAUUGAAAUGCAUGAAUGGUCAAUUGGGAUCACGGUCCUUCUAAGUUGACGAGAAGUUUCAAGUGCCCAAAGAGUCAUACAUAUUCAUGAUGACAAACCAUGACUAUACAUUUCAUGCUAGUAUUGAUGCAUGCAUGAUGAACUGUGAUGGUAGAACAUACUUGGCCGGCAUCGAGCACAAGAACUCGGUCAGAGUCAAUGAUGGUGUUAAGUCUGUGGGCAAUGAUGAGCAUGGUGCAGCAGGUAAAUUCUUCCCGGAUGGUUUUCUGGACGAGAGCAUCAGUUCUAACAUCAACGGCUGCAGUUGCUUCAUCGAGAACAAGAAUCUUUGAUCUUCUUAGUAAUGCUCGAGCAAGACACAGCAGUUGCCUCUGUCCGACGCUGAAGUUCUCUCCACCCUCAGAAACCUUGACAGAGCACAACCAACAUCAAUUAAAUCAAUGGAUAUUUUUAACUUCACCUUUCUUAACUAGCAAGAAAAAACGACUAAUGUAUUCUGAAGCCAAUAGAAUAAUGCAGAGCAUUACAUCGGCCUAUUGCAUAUAGAAAGACCAAACAUCUAUAAAAAUCGACCUAUCAACUUCAGUUUAACACUACAGAUACUAUAACGUCUAACAUAUUUGGACAAGUUAUGGAACGGAUCCUUCAGCAUUUCUUGCAGGUAAAACAAUUCCAACAUUUGUAGCACUCUGUCCAGUUUACCUCCAAGUCCAGCCUACAUUGACAGCUCUUUUUCUCUGUCUUGCAGUCUUGUUAUUUAGUUCAGGGGGAGGAAAUUAUAUAUUAAAUGGAAAUUCUGGAGGUAACAGUGGUGUAAGCAGAGCAUUUGAGCAAAAAUAUUUGUAAUCAUACCUAGAAGAUUAUUGCUAAUUAUUUCUCACUAAUCUUGUCAACAUCUUUAACUUCAAAAAUUUUUAAAAACCAUGUCAGACUUCUGUCCUGAAUAAUCAUUCACGUCGCUUGCCUUGUAUUAAUUCGACUCAAUUUCUCUCCUCUCUGCCAAAGGGCAUUAACCUAGUCAAUGGUUAUUGUCACCAUCUCAACACUUGCAUGCUUUAGACAGCCUCUAACAAUCCUUGUCCUUCACAGUACAAUUUGCAUAACUUAGAUAUUUUCUCUUUAACAUUGCAGAUAACUACCGAUGAUUUCAUCAACAUUAACCUGAAUUUGAUCGAAAUUGCACUGAUCCCUUGGAUUAAGAUUUUGCAUCUAGUAAAUUUUCGCAAGCUUACCUCAGCAUCCAGGCCAUAAAAGUUCCUCCUGAUAACAUCCUUCAAAUGAGCUCUCUCCAAAGCCUCCCAGAGGUCAGCAUCAUCGUGUUCAUUGAAAGGGUCGAGAUUGAAUCUCACAGCUCCUACACAAAAUUGAAAACAAAGAAACUAUUGGAGACGGUACUUAUUCUCCACAAAUGAAGGAAUUUAAAGUUUCUUUCUGGUAUAUCAUUGAAGCUUCUCAGUCCACAGUAACGGAGUUCAAUGGAUGCAGUUAUGGUACGUACUGUAGCCUUUUUCACAUGAAAUAUCAGACAACUCAUGAAAAGAAAGUUGGUCAAUUUUUUAUGCAGAAUGUUCCUUGGAAUCAAACCAAAGUAAAAGGACAGUGGAUUAAGACAUUUUAACAGAUUAGUACUGGUCAGCAGACAGUUCACGUCAAGAGAAAGUGGCAGUCCAGGGGUAGUUGGGCACAGCAUUGGAUUGCAAGAAUAGUAAGUGGCUCUUGUGAAUGAUACUUGGUCCGAGAGUACAGAGUUCUGGACCUCCAGUAUCAGACAUAAUUAGUGCAAGAGAAAACUCUCUGCAAGAGAAAACUCUCAGCUAUGAAUCUGUCAGAGGACAUAGCAAUAUCAACCACUGGGCAGACUGAAAAGCAUGAACUUGUAAGCAGAAUCUCCUACAGAAUAUCAGAGAAGUUGAAGGAAAAGGGGGAAGAAAACAAGAUACAGAGCAUUUCAUGGUGCCUACCUGAGAAAAGAACUGGUGAUUGUGGUAUGAUGCUAAGGACUUUCCGCAAAUCUUCCAGUCCUAUUUUAGAGGUGUUGCACCGAUCAAUCAAGAUUCUUCCUUUUUCCAGCUCAACAAUUCGGAACAAAGCAUUUAUCAUGCUAGAUUUUCCAGCACCGGUUCUUCCGACUAUUCCCAGUUUCUCACAGGGUGCUGUUGAAAAGGACAAUCCAUGCAAGACGGGAGGAAGUUCAGGUCUGUAACGAACGACCACAUCUUCAAAUUUAAUUAAUCCUGAUGAAGGCCAGCCAGGAGGGGGCCGGUUGCUCUCUAUUAUAACCGGAGCUUCGGAAGGCAAUUCUAUGUACACACUCACACGCUCCACAGCAUUUAGACUAUUCUCAGCAUUGCUUGCUUGUCUCAGUACACCACUCAAAAGGUUUGUUAUAUUCAAAGUGUAGCUGAGCAGGAGACCCAUUGUUGAAGCAAAGGCUGCUCUGUUUUCUGCAUUUCUAGUCUGCAUGACUGCAAAUGUUGCUGUCAACCAGAUCAUUAUGCCUCCUAGUGUCCCCAACCUUAUAUUGAGCCAAAUGUUGGAACUGAUAUUGACAAGGGUGAAUCUGAUGUUAUUGUCCAUGGCCUUGGCAUUACUGGUGGCCAACCUAUCAUGUGCUUUAUAUGCACGAAUCGUUGAUAAGCCAUUCAAUGCUUCUCCGAAUUGUGCAUAAACUGGGGAUCUGGUGAUUGAAUCCAAGCGUUUCACUUCACGAGAUAUAGUCUGUUAACAGCAGCAAGGCAAACAAUUAGAAAGACAAUUAUAUCCAGACUUCCAAAGGGCUCGGCUAUGGGUAGAGGGCGAAACAUGUGUUAGAAAAAGAGGAAUAGUUCUAUUGAGCAAUUAAAAGGAUCUACUGUUAACCUUGAUCAUUAAUGCCCCCCCUAACACAAAAAAUUGACAAAAAAGAUGGAUAAAUGAAACUUUCAUUAUUGAACCGUUGGUGCUUAGUACUUAUUCACUGUUUCAUACGAAGGAAAAAAAAAAGUGUUGCUUUCUACUAUGAAAGGAUUAUGGAAAUUGCGUUUCCGAAUUUCCACUAUAAAACAAUUAAAUGGCGGUGCAUAGUGUCACAGGCAUAACAAAAAAUGUAAAUACAACAUGAAAUUGUCAGUUAAUGUGGCAAAAGAACAUUGCCAACCCCACCAAGUGGGACGAGUUUUGGCAAUUGUUGCUGUUAGUGGCAGAGAAAAUAUCACUUUGCAUGAAAGAGAAUUAUGGCCCUAACAAAACUGCACUGACCUGGUAAUAUAGAUAGGCUGCAUAAAACAAGAUCAAGAGCGGUGAUAUGGCCCAAAGAGAGAUUGUGCUUAUAAUUCCUAUGAGCACAAAAGUCGAAAGUAGCUGGCAGAGUUGGCCCAUAAACACAUUUACAAAUCUGGGAACAUUGCGAUCUAUGUCCCCUAGAUCCUUGGCAAACCUGUUGAUUAUUCUUCCCACUGGGUUGGUGUGAAAGAAAAGCAUUGGAGCCCUUAAUAUAGACCGAAGCAUAGAAUCAUGCAAUGUUUUUGCUGCAGAAAGACUCGAAAUAAUCAACCAAUAAGCGUUAGUCAGCGUCACAGUCACCUGAUUCACAGAAACACGGGAGUUGUCAGAGACAUUGCUAGAAAGACCUACCCUUCAGUUGACAUAUGCCCACAUCCACCAAAGACUCUAUAAUACAGAAAACUAGAAAAAUAGCAAAGCUAACAAAUAGUCUGCUUCAUGUUAUGAUAAAUCAGUUUCUCUCUGAAGAUACAAUACUUUCUGCACUAAAAAGAAGAAGUUGUAAGCCAAACUCAAGCACCAAGAGGCUAUGAAGCACCAACACUUUCCAAGAGCCUUCGUGUCGUGUUAGACACUUUGACACGUGUCCGACACUCUCCGACACUCUCGGACACUCUUCGACACUCGGUUUACAUGUGUCGGAAUAUUCGACACCUAGUCAACUUUCUCGACACUCUUUGACGCUCAAGUCAGAAUUCUGACAUACGAGUUUCUAACACGUAAUUUCGAUAAGGUCAAUUUUAAAAAUUCAAUAAAUGAGAGGCCAAAAUAUGUAUAUGUGUGUAUGUGUGUGAAAAAAUAAAACACAAUAAUAAAAAUAAUCAAUGGAGAAAGAAGAAAAACCUAGUUUUCUCUUCUUUUCUAAUUCCCAUUUUCUGUGAUACAUAAUUCACCUCUUAAGUUUUUUUUCUCCUCUUCCAACAUGUCCAACAUGCAAGUCCAGAAUAUGGAUCGCUUGUUUUGUCUGCAAGUUUUAUGAAUUAUUAAAAUAGGGUUGAAUUUGUUAAAUCGAAACAUUGAAUGAUGUUAAUAAAUGGCGGAUUAAUGUUUUUAGUGCAUAUUCAUUCUAGGCUUGUUUAAUUAUUUAUUUAUUUAUGAAUUUGAUUGAAACUAAUUUGAUUGAAAUAAUCAUAAAAAUGAUAAUUUAUUAUGUAUAUAUAAAAAUAUAUGUUUAAUAUAUAAAGUGUCCCAACUUGUCGGAAUUCUCUAUUUUUUAGAAAUGACGUGUCGGCGUGUCGUGGCGUGUCGUAUCGUGUGUCGGUGUCAAUGCUACUUAGCCAAGAGGUAAUGUGAUAAUGUGGCUUCCCCACUUUAUCAAGAAUCAAAACGAAAUUAUAGAAGCACAAGCUACUGCAGAAAAGAUAGCAACAUUGGAGAAACUGAAUCGGAGAUCUAUCUACUGACUUGACAUACCUGACCAAAGGACAGGAGUGCGUAGAUCAAUGUGUAGAAUCCUGGUCUGUAGUUCUCCGAUGUGCUUUGAUGUGUCCAGAAACUCAACCAUGUGCUACUUGAAAUUCGAAGAACUUCAGUUAAAGUAUAGCAAAUAAAGAGUACUGCCACCACCCACAGGCCUCCCAGUGCCCCUUUGUACCUAAAAAUAGAUUAAGUGAAAAAGGAAAUCAGAUCAUACGCAUGUCACAGACAAGUAGCAUUAUUGCUAUGUAAUUCUAUGUUCCAGAUUUAUCAGUCCUGACAGAAAUAGAGGGAAAAUAGCAUUUUACAAAACAAAAACAGUGUUUGGGUUUUCAGUAAAAAGGAACUGUCAAAUUCGUGGACUUUAGGUGUUUAUAAGCAUUUAGUGAUAUGCAUGAAACAUAGUUAUCAUGUGGAGGAAACCUAAGCAUUGCAGAAAAAGCUACUUAGAGACCUUUCAAGUUGAUGUCAUGUGAAGCGGAGAAAGAAAUGUCGCGCAAACUUACACUAAAUGUUACCUCCAUAUCGUCUUAGGUAUUACAUGGACUUUCUUGAAUUUUCUGUUCAAUAUAUCACAUGUAUGUUUUAUGUCACUUAAUUGGCUUAUUUGAACCCUUGUUCCAUUCUAGAGUUCAAUAAAGUCUUUAGGUCAUGAAUUUCUUAUCCACAUAUAAGCCUUCUUCAUAAAUUAUCUGUCUACACAACAAAUAUUAGAAGAUGAAGCUUCAUAUCAUGCAUUUUAAUACCUCAUCAGGACUUUCCAACUCACAAUGCCUGUUUCCCGUUCCUCUUGCUUAAUAAGUACCAACUUCCCUCCUUCACCUUUCUUCCCAUGGUCUUGAUUUUUAGGCAAUUCAUUAACAAUGGUGUCAGCUGCUGGUUUGGAUGUUUUCUCCUCCACAUUUUUCUUCUCCCCCUCCUCAUCAUCUUCUAUUUGUUCCUCCAUUUUUCCUGCAUUCUCCAUAAGUGUCUGGAACAGUACCUUGCUUCUAGACAGCUCCUCAAAAGUCCCCUCCUCUUUGACCAUUCCUUCAUGAACCAAAAUGAUUCGAUCCACUUGAGGAAGAAAAUGUAGCUGAUUCGUGACAAGAAUCCGGGUCUUCCCUCGCAGCUCUUCCUUGAUACAGCUAUUGAACACCUGUAGUUGACUGCGGAUUAGUAUAAGCUAAUACAGUGCCCUCAUUUCUGAAAAUUCAGAAAAGAGAUCCUACUGAGUGGAAGAUCUAUAAAUAUGAAGCUAAAGCUCACUUCGGACAGGGGGCAGUCAAGCCAAAAGGCUCAGAUACCCCAUUUUACUAAAAAAAAUUAAACAAAUAAAUAAAUAAAAGAAGCUGGUCAAACAAAGACAAUAAUAGAAAUACACAAAUAUAAGUUAAGAAGUCCCAAAUUGGAAAAUGCUUUGAAGUAUUGAAAGUAGCAGAUGUUGCUUUGAUUAUCCAAAUAUUGAUUGUAGCAAGUUAUCUUAAGGGCAGGACUAGCAUCAAAAAAAUCGUUAUCCUUGAUUAACCGAAGCAUUUGAGCAUGCCUUGCACAAAAAGCUUUCCGAGUAUACAGGUAAUUGUUUAAGCUUAUAACAUCAAUUGCUACACCUGUGGUAAUCUGAAGUGACGAAUUUUGUCUUAUGAAUUUCAUACCUGUCGACCAACAUGAGCAUCUAGAGCACUUAAAGGAUCAUCAAAUAUGUAAACAUCUGAAUUUGAGUAAACAGCCCUGGCCAUGGAAACCCUCUGCUUUUGGCCUCCACUUAUAUUCACCCCUCUUUCCCCAAUCUCUGUAAGAUCGUGACCCUGAGGAAUAAAUGAAAUAGAUAAUUAACAGAUCACAUGCCAUGUUAAAAGAGAUACUUGCAAGGCAUUGGAUUCCACUUAACUGGAAGCAAAUCAAGAUCAUGCUCCAAUUGAGUAACGCUGACUGCCUUCCAAUAUCUUUGUGCUUCAAAUUCAGACCCAAAUAAUAUGUUGUCUCGCACCUGAUAUCACACAUAGGACACAAGAUAAAUUGAUGAUAAGGCGCCCAACAUCGACAAAUAAAUAAAAUCAGCAGUGUGCAACUUACAGUGGCAUUGAAAAUCCACGACACUUGAGGAACAUAAGCAAUGGUUCCCCGUAUAGUAACGCAUGCAUCAGAGACAGGAGAUAGUUCCCCAAGCAUUGCUGAUAUGAGAGAUGUCUUUCCUUGUCCAGUACCACCAACAAUGGCCACUAAGCUACCCACUUGUAUUUCCAGAUUGAUGCUCGACAGGGUGGGUUUUUCUGCCUGAAGUUAGCUGAAAAUUUAGCUUCCACUUGAAAUAAGACGUUGCAACAAAAAGACAGGAAACCACCAUCGACAACCAUUUAGUUAUGCUUAAUCAUCAAAUAUCAGUUGGAAGACACUGCUACAUUAACUUGAACCUUCAAAAUGCUGGCAGAAGAGAUGCAUUCACCCAGAGAAAUUAUGUCCUCUGAAUUCUGAGUUCAGUUUUCCUCAGAAUGCACCAAGAGUAAAUUACAAAUAAAAAUUAGGACAAGUUUCCUUUGAAGAUGCUCACCUUUAUAGAAGUUGUGAGAGCGCAGCUCACUUAGCUAAAUGUUUAAGUUGUUCAAUGAAGGCAUGGUUUAAAUUUUGAUUAUGGCAUCAACCAACUUCAGGGUUUUUUUUUUUUUUUUUAUAUGCCCCUAUCUUUCAAACACAUCAGUGACAAUUACUGUUUAUAAAUGCAUUUUUUUUUUUUUUUUUUGGUAAGAGUAAGCAAUAUAUUAAGAGGGGGCAUUUUGAUGGUGUUACAACCCUUAAAACCUAGACAAUUCAGACAUACUAAAGUCAACAGUUUAUACACAUUGAGAAAAGUUAGGCAAGUGAUAUUGCCAGACAAAAUGACUCAUAUGUUUAUUUGACCUUUGAGUCCCAUGAAAAGUGCCCAUCCUUGAUUGAAAUAGCUGGCUCUCCUGGCUCAAUCGCUGGAUUUGGAACUAAUACUCUCUCUUCUGUUAAAAAUAGUUCCUCCAAACGUUGCAGGGAAACAUUCGCAGUAACAACCUGGACACAAAAAUUAGAUGGGAAUCUAAAAGAUGACAAACAAAUGUUUGCAACCACUGUUAUAAUAAAAUUGCUGGAUCUAAGAUGGACAAUAUGCCUCAUUCUUGAGAAAGUAAAGGUAAAAACCAAAAUAAGCCCAAAACAGAAAAUCUGACUCCCACUUUCUAAAUAUCGUAAAAGCCAUUUAAUGAAGAGAGAAUCUGUUACAGAUUUUGUCAUCACAACAUGGUUUAGCCUUCAGUUCAAUUAUCACAUUGGUGUAACAGGUCCUACUAAUUAAAUUUCUAUUGUUUUUUCUAUUUCAACAACAAGACAAUUAGUUCAGGUUAAACGAAAAUGUAGUAUAUGAGAAAUGCUCGUAAAAAUUUUCGUACUCCGUAUUGUCCAAGUCAAAGAAUCAACCCUUCAGUAUGAUGAGUUACUACAGUUCACCUUUGAUAUUCUAUGUUAUUUUUCUUGCAGUUUGAUAUUGUUGAUCAUUGUCUUCUUCACUAAGUUGGUACUUAAACUGAAUGAGGGUAUCACGCCAACACAUCUGAGGCAUACAAUUAGGUGCAAAAACAAAAUGAUAGAUCCUCUGUCCACAUAGUAACCACACAUGUUGAUGUUGAUGAAGGAAGAUCAGUACACUAUUCUAUUUGAGUGACAGAGAUAGAGAAAUGAGGGUAGGAUGAAGUGAAAGAACCUGAGACAUCAAGCUCGGGAGCAUGUCCAAAGGAAACCGUAAAACCGCAAAAAGAGAGAGUGAUGUGAAGGCCCUCGCUGGUGUCAAAUCCCCACCAAGCAAAGUGAAUGUCCCAAAUGAGACAACGGUUACGAUGACAGGGAUGCUGUUCAGUACAAAGCUGUUGAACUGACACCAACAUUGAACUCUCAGACAAACAGAAAACCAUCUAGCAUUAUGGAAGAAGAAAAUGUCAUGUUCAUUAGUUCUCACACACCUGACAAAAAGGGUCUAAACCCAUUCAUCUACUUCUACAUGAGAAACAAAUGGAGACUAUUUCAUUGCACUGUCAUAAGUCUGCUGAUUGAAAAACAGCAACUAUAAGUCUAUGACUACUCAGCUUACACGCAACGGUGAAUGGAGUUCAAGACUAGAUAAAUAAUUUUACACGGUAAACCAAUCACCUUUUUUAUUUUACACUAACCUAUUCUCAUGAUAAUGAAAAGAAUCAGAGAAUUUGAAUUGCUUGCACACGAGCACCUUGGAAAGUAUUUCAACUGCCGUUAGACUGCUUGGUAAGUUUACCGCAGGCAGAAAGCCAAGACAGUUUGUUCCAUAGAUAGAGUGUGUUCACUUCUCUUUUUUAGCACAAGCAAUAUCCUGCCACUGAGGUUCUCUAAUUUGUAUCUCUCUCUCUCUCUCUGCACACGCAUGCAUGUGGGUAUGUGGAUGUGCAUGUACGCAUGCGUACAUACAUAUUUUAUACCGAUAUAGACAUGUAUACUGGGGAAACCAAGAAUUUUCCAAAUGUCAAUACAGAUGAUACUUCCACGAUCAAUAAAGGCACAAUAUUAUCUUAAUUUUGAAGUAAUCCAUACUGCAGAUAAUAGUUGCGCCCUACGGAACCAUGAAAGCUCAUCACUUCGUACUUCUUGAACUUUACAUUGAAAGCUCUUUUCCCAAGCGUAACAUCUGCAAGAAUUUUUGUGAUGAAUUUGAGUAAUUAUAAAACAAACACAGCUAUAGAAGAUGUAGGCCAGGGCAUCUUGCUAAUUCAACAUACUUCACAGUGUCCAUUGCCGCCAAAAUUUCAUUCAUAAGGCUGACUCUCUUGUCAGUCCACUGCAGCCCUUCCUUGGUCAGUUUUUGCAUUUUGCUGAUUAUGAUCGUCUAAUUAACCGUGAAAAAAAUUAUGUGAGACAAUUGAUUGACAGAUAGUGAAUCAAUCAUCAUGAUAUAAACUAUAUAAUCCAUGAGUUUAGUGACGAAAUGGCAUGGAAAACCUCAUAGCUAACCACAUAUAGCAUAAUAUAGAGAUUGUGAAUCUGGCAAUUUGUUAAUGAGCAAUAAGCAGAGUAGACAGAGAUCACUAAAUUUAACUCAUGGAACUCUUUACUUGUUAGACCAUUUUUCUUUUUUUUCUUUUUUUUUUUUGGGGUAAAAAUUAGACCAUUUUUCUUUCGUCACAAUGGCAAUAAGAAAUAAUUGCCUUCAAAUCUUAAGCAACCAUAUUAGGCUUUCUAGAGCAUGCUUUGUAGCACAAAGCGCCACACCAACAAUAUUACUGAUACAACCAUUGCUAAGUAGAAGUUUCAAAGGAUAAACGACCUCUACUUAGUACCUGGAUCAGAAUGCCCCUUGUAAAAAUUAAAGUUGAAAGAGAACUUGGACCUCCAGGUCAGCACAAAUAUUAACGUAUAUAUGGUUUAACUAAAAUUGGUAAAUAAUUAAAAUAAUCAUGGACAAAUUGGUCUUUCUGAUAUUAUAGUGAGGAUAACUUUCAAGGGAAAGAGAGCACGAGGUUACUUGCAAGGGGAUCAUGAGGACAAGCAUGAGAGAUCCAAGCAGCGAAGCAAUGCCCAAUUGCUGGUACAGAAGAACCAUGGCAAUGACAAUACGAAAUGGAGCCGACCAUAAGUUGUGAAGUUGUCGGCAUAUUUGCUGAACAAUAUCAGCUGUCAUGUUAGAUGUAAUUCAUAGAAUUUGCUUUUGCAGAGUCAGAAGAGGAGGGCAUUUGUACUGAGGAAGAUGUCACAAUUGACUUAACUAAAUCAUGUUGCAGCAAUACGAGAACUAUGGUAGCUAUGUCAUAAAACAAGUAGGAGGUCAGAAAUCUCACCUCGAGUGCGUUAGCAUCUGUAGUCAUCAUGUUUGUUAUCUUUCCAGAUUGGAAAUUCUUGCGACCCUCGUGAGUAAGUCUUAACGAUUUGCGGAAAAUGGCCACCACCUACCAAUCGGUUGAACAAGCUAUGUUAAUUUCUCUUCUAUGACAAAUGAUGAAGAACAAUCAAGACUGAGCAUCUGAUACUGAGGAUUUGUACACAUCUGGCAGAGGUUUUACCAAAGUUGACCUCAGCCUAAAUCCCGUCCGAAAUGAAUUUUGAAAGUACUGGGCUUCGCAAAGCACACCGAACGACUGAACAGAUUUCAAUCAGAAGUCAAUAACGUGUCCAAAACAGUAAAUUUCACAUAUCUUAUUAAAGAAAGGACAUAAACAUGGAAUAGGAACUACAAGCCAGAGGCACCGACAAUUAUAAGAAAUGCAGACAAUAAACUUGAUUUACCAUUUACAAAAGUGAUAAUGAUAUUUACUUCACACAUUGCACUAUAAAAAUUUAAUAGUAUGCAAACUUAGAAGGAAAGGACUCUGUCUCCUAACAUAAAUCACAAACUCGACACAAAACAAAGAAAGGAUCAUACCACACUGACAAGAAUCAGAAAGGCACAGAUGUAACCAAUCCAUGCAGGGUCCCCUCUUUGCAUUGACUGCAUGUUACAAAGAAUGAUGCAUUAGAAGGAAAAAAAAAAAUCCGUUCCUGGAAAGCUAACCUGCAUCUAACAUAAUCCACCGUGAUGUUGACUGAAAUACAAAAGUAAAAGUCCAGUCUAUGAGCAGAAUAUUCUUUGCCAUGGAAAGGCAGGGCAAUUGAGACUUCUAGACAAUGUUAGAACAGAACAGAUGAGAUUCUUUUUGAACCAAUCAUAGUUCCUAUAGUCACUAAGCCAUUGCUGUUCAUUUGUUGCCCUGUGUAUAUUGGAGCAGCUUCCCUGUCACAACAAUGCAACAAGCACACUGAAAUAAUUGCUAGAAAAUGACAUUUUACCGUAAGAUAAGCAUGUUAACUCUGUUUCUGCCAGGGUCUGCCCUCCCUGUGAACAACCCUUCAAGUUUUCCAUCCAAAAAUGGUUUAUUGAACAAUAUUCUCAUCAUUUUAAGAGGAAGGUUCCAUGGAAACAAUUUUCCAUAAUGAAGCACAUGUUUCUAGAAAGAAGAUAAAAAUUCACAAUUGCUGGAUUUCAUCAAAAUCUUAAAAGCAGAGUCCAGCAUUGAUUUUAAAAUUUAUGCCUACAAAUUCAUCUAACAGAGAGAGAGAGAGAGAGUUGGAACAACUUACUUGAAGGAGGUAGUUCAGCAAUGUGGGCCCUGCAAACUCAGAAAGAUCGCUCCCUAUCUGUAGUUUUGCAUGUUAGAAAGAAUUACUAAGCUUCCAAUGAGCAUUGCAAAUCAAAGUGAACAGUAUGCUCUUGAAGGAUCAUUAUUAUAGUGAUUGCUCAAGCUUAAUCACAAGACGAAGCCUAAGAGACUAUCCUUUAGAUACCGCUUUUCUUCUUUCAGAUUCAUGAGCUUCUAAGGUUCUGCUCAACCGAAGUUAUUAUGUAACAGGGCAUGCAUGGUAUAUGGACAUCAUUAUUGUACUAGGAAAGGAGUUACGACAUGCGAUUGAGCAUCCAUUCCCCACAGCUGAGGAAUCUGAACAUUUUGGAAUGAGUCUGGUGAUCAAUUAGAUCAUGAAGGGUAAUUAUGAUACCUUAAAGAAGCCUCCCAACCAAAACCUGAAACAAAACAAACAAGUAAAAUGAGAUGGAGAACAUUCAAACAAUGAGGAUGCUUAUGAGUAAUGCUGCAGCUGUCAGUGCACUGUCAAGUCGAAAUUGAAAUGAGCAAUAGGACAUGAGGUGCAGUUCAACUGAUACAUACCUCCCCCCAAGGCUGCCGUUCAAAGCUCUUAAAAGCCAGGGUUUGGGCCUGUGAGACUCUUUGGCCCAGCAUUUCUGGAAUCUGGAAAAUAAGAACAAUUGAAAUGCUUUAUGAAUGUAUCUAAAUACACAAUAAAGUUUGGAGUACUACUUAAGUAAAGUGACUGACGCUAACCUUUUAAUCAGUGUCUCAGUCUGAUCCCAAGUGUCUAACUUCCAAACAUCCUUUUCGGAAAUUGGUCUUUUGUAGCCUUGCUGCAUAACUGGAGUCACCCACCCGAAGUACAUCCCUUUAAGAGAGAGAGAGAGAGAGAGAGAGAGAGAGAGAGAGAGAGAGAGAGAGAGAGAGAGUUAGUAUCAAACAACGCAGCAAUAACCAGCUAACAAUAGAACGCUAAUCAAAUGCCAAUAUUCCAUUUCACUAGACCCUCAAAGACAUGUUCCAUCUCACUUUUAUUUUCAGGCUUGCUUCAGGGAGGAAGAGAUUUGCGCAAACACAGAACCAACAAAUGCCACCAUCAGAAACCAAGUGAAAAAACAAGCAAAUUGGACUCAUUAAGCAGACAGAAUCUAAAAAUGUCAAUUUAUAAGCUUAUUAUUAAUCUUUAUUGGAGAAUGACAAGCAGUUCUUGACAUGUCAAUUCAUAAAGACUAGCUGAACUGGUCUGGUCAGAUGAAAAACAAGCCGAGCUGUCAUAUAAGAAAAAUGAAGUUCAAGUACUACUCACUGGAAAAUAUGUUGACAUGCCUUUCAGGACAAACUUGCUCCUCUCCUGGAAGGGCCUCAUAUUCAACACUAUCAAGAGGCUCGGUGUGGAUUGUAGUAUACCCUGGAUAAGGGUCUAGACUCGGAAAAUAGACAAAAAGAAGAAUCCCAACUAUUACCUACACCAAAAAAAAAAGGCACAAAAGAGAAGAAAAUUUAGUCAGGAUUCUUCAGAUUGGAGUGACCAAUGACAUAAAGAAAUCUCACUAAUUGACGACCAUAACUGAUGAAUCCCAGUAGGAGCUGUUUGUUCAAAAGGCUAGGAAAGCUAUAAACAGCCAGGUCAGGAGUAACGGGUUAUUGAAAGAGACAUAACCUGGCAAAAGACCGUGCUGAUGUACAGAUACAUUGCAGACCUGCAGAUGUAAAAGAACAUGGAUAUUGGGUCCUCCCUGGAACACACUCAAUAUGGAUCUUAAACUCUUCAACAAUGUGAUGCAUUAAAUCAGAAUAACCUGCUUCGAAAAGAUUUUUUUGUCCCCAAGGGAGAUUUAGGCAACUACACCUACAAGUGGCUAUUUAACAUGUCAUAUUGCAAAUAUUUCCUCUCUGAUGAUUUAGCAAUGACAUAAUCUUCAGUAAAGCAGUGUGGCCAUGAAGGAGGAAAAAUGCACACUCUAAAGUAUUUUGACAAUAGAAAAGUUAAUUCUGUCAAUUAUUUUCCAUCAAUCACCAAAAUGAGAGAGAGAGAGAGAGAGAGAGAGAGAGAGAGCAUCUAAUAACAUCACUAUAUUUCUUUGCUUGCAUUCAAGUGUAUGAAAUGGGAGAAUAUGAGAUAUUCUCUACUUGCACUCAAGUGUAUGAAAUAGGAGAAUAUUAGAUGUACAUGUUCUGAAGUAUGAACAGUUAUGUUAAAUGUCUGCUGAACAAUAAAAAACUAACCUAUGAUGCUGAUAAUUGUCUCUCAUUGAGAGGAUGAGCUUGAGCAUCACAACUUGCCCCACCAGAACAUAAAUGAGUCCAAACCGCACGUACCACUUAAAAUCCCGGAUGUAAGCGUGCAUUUCUAGGCCAAUCAUAACUAGCAUGGAGCACCAAGCAAGAGACUCUAUGGUUAACGAAACCAUCUGCCAAACAAAAAAGUGUGGAUUAUUAAAAAGCAAAUUAGACUUCAGUUUGCCAGCCAAUGUAAAAUAGCAUUACAGACUGGUGUUCUGAAGAUUUACAGUAUGACAGAUAAUGAAAACUAUCAUGGCAUCAGUAGAAACAGACUCGUGGAAGUGAAAAGUUAACUAUAAACUGUGGCUGAUUUGGUUACUCAGAGGGCUAAACUUGGAACCCACGGAAGUUGAAAAACUCACAUGUGCAAAGAAGGAUGUUUUCCAUUAGUUUCAUUGCUUUUAUCAAAAGACAAAGUUUAACAUUAGACAGAAUGUCUUUACCAAAAAAACAUUAGACAGAAUGUAGUGGCAAUGAGGAAUACUACACGAGGAUCCACUAGCACCAAGCUUCAUCCAAGAGAAAUCAGUUGAAAAAGAAUAAACAAAACGAGAGUCAAUACCCUAGUGAACAAUUUCAGUCUUAUGCUUUCUCACAUGUUAAGGUUAAGCAACUAGCUACCAAAUGCAAGCUUUUUGGACAACAUAUGGGACUCUGUUGAUGUGCAAAAGAACCAGCUAAUCAAGAUUGUUCAUCAACCAGAGAAAUAUUAGGUGAGCGUCGGAGAGUCGAAUAGGUCCUUGAUACCGUAAAAUUCCUACCUCAUAUGGAGGGAGGAUAGUCUGACCAUCCAGAUUGAAAACCGAGAAGCCCAUCACCAACCUCAGCAGAGGCUCUGCAGCGCAGUAAAAAGAAAGCAAUCCCAACAUGUAAUUGUAGCAUUUUGACCUCAGACGGUAUCUCUGGACUUUCAAAGUCCUCUUGAUCAACCAAAUUCGGUAACAGCAGAGACCCAGAAGAAGCAAAUGGGAUAUGGAAAUGACCAAGGAAUCAACGGCGCAAGGUGUGUAUGCACCAAAAGCGCUGUCCGUGGUCCUUGCCCAAAUCCCACUUGCCACUGGCCUGCAAUACCAAUCCAGCAACUCGAAACCCAUCUUCUAAGCAAGGUAUCCGCUCCUAGUUCAUCAAUGGUCCAUCACAACCUCUUGAAACUUUUUUCACUCAGAAGUCUCAUUAAGCAGAAAUUUCCCCUGAAUCAAUGCACAUGUUCAGAAACAUCCACCAUGAAUACUGCAGGAAAUUUGUCAUUAAAAGAAGUUAAGCAAGAAAACCCACUAUGGUGAAAUCACAAGAGGUCACUCGGUUUAUUUAUAUUUAAAAAAUGGAAUGCAAGCAAAGUCACAGUCCACUGCUCUUUGUUCCAAACUGAAACGCCAGUUAAAUUUCCUCAACUUGACUUCAGCUUUAACCAAGUCCACCAAAACAGUGCUUUGAGCAUGACCCAAGAGAAAUUAGAACUCCCAUUCAUUACACAGUGUCAACCAAUCACCCCCGACAAAAUUAGAAACAAGAAAGAACACAUGACUUCACAAACACACAGGAAGAGAG